UGCACCCACAGAGAAAGCAGCAGUCACACAGGAACAUCUGCUCUGAACAUGGCCCCCUUCCAAUGGCCCUGGCUCGAAAGAAGUUGGUAAAAUGGCCUCCUUCAAUGUAAGUCACUGUGGCCUUGGGAUGGCCUUGAGUUCUCAGCCACCAGCCACAGUGCUUUCCCUUCCCUCUCCGGUUCUCCCAUCAACAUGUUGCAGAAAGUUCUCUUCACAGAGAGCCUUAUUAUUGACUCGGAUAUUCUGGCUCAGAACACCCUUACCAUACACCACUCCAGCCAGCGGUGAGUGAUAACAACUCUGUUUGUGUUUAAUUAGCUCUUGGUUUAGGGGCAGUUUGUGUUGAGGGUGUGUCUGUUUUAGUUGGUUAUGCAGUUGACAGAAAUAUAUGUGUAUUGAUGUGGGUCCUCUGUGUAUGCCCUCUCAAUGCUCUGGUCUGAAAGUUCAACAGGCCCUCACUACGCUACCAAUGGAGGCAAAUUGUUGGAAUGUCUGUGCUUUGAUUUCAUUCUGUUCAACCGGAAUGAUAAUACAUGUUCUGUGUCUCUAAAUAUCUGUCUGGGCAGAGGUCCAUACUGCUUAUCGUGAGGCAGAACUUCUGGGUGAACCAGUGUUGCUGCCCUGUUUCACAGUCCUAGAGGAGAGCACAGCUUUGGAGACUAUUCCCCGGGCAGCUGGCUACUUGCCCUGACCCUAAGUGUCAUCUGUUUAUUUCUUGUAUUUUUAAAAUCAUGUCCCUCAUAGAAUCCAUGUCAUGACUUACAUUCACAAAAAUAUCUAAAAUAGAAGCAUGAUUAUAAAGUAGUGGAUUAUUUUUUUAAACAAACAUUACAGAAUGUGUUCACCUAAAUGUGUGUUGUUCCUUUCAAAGUGAUCACUUUUGAAAGUUGUACACAUAUUCUCAAGAUGGUAAUAUUAGGUAACAUUUUAAAGAAAUUCUUCUUUGGAAUUUCUUAAUUUAAAGGUAAUACAAAUUCAUAUUGAAAGAUUUGGUUUUUGUCUUAGUCUGUUUUCUGAAUUUAUAUUUGUUGUUCUAAAACCCAGGGAUAAGCGUUGUUAAUGUUGUGUAUAUAUCUUCCUAGUCUUUUUUUCUGAAUUUUAGUCUACUGAAUACACUCAGUGGGGAUGAAUCUUCAUUCUCUCAGGGCAAUUUAGAUAUUUGAAAUUUAAUUCCAUUACAUUGAAUUCAGCAAAUAUCUAAACAGUGUCUCUACAUGCAAAGGAGUUAAGUGAAAUAAAAAGAUUAACAAGAUAUGUUCAGAUUGAUUUUUUUUUAAAGACCAUUGGCUGGUUCAGAAGGUAAUGCUAAAUAGAAUUACAAAAAGUAUUUUGAACAAUUGCAACAUCGUUGGAAUAGGUGUAGUCUCCCAAGAGGAUACAUUGAAGGGGACAGUACAAACAGUUGUGGAAUUCCUGGAAUGUUAAAAAAAUGAAAGUAAUUUACAUCAUACAUUGAAUAAAACUAUUUGGGGUAACCAGUAGCAGUCACCACAGCUCAAAAACUAAAACUGGCCUGAUGCUGAGGUAAAAAAUAGGUAAGGUGACUCUCAUACCAGCUUGUCUAGGACAAUCUUGGUUUAUGACUGUUGUCUUAAUAGAAUUAAAACAGAGCCCUCUUUCUUCUCUGAAGAGGACUGGCCUGCAGGAUCAACUACUGAUCACCCUAAUGACAGAGACAGUGGAUGUUGGCAUCUCCCCUACUGCUCUCCAUGGACAACUUUAGUUAAUUUAGCUAGGUAGGUCUGUUGGUUCAUCCUGAAAUCUUUCUAUUGGUCUAUCUCUUGGUCCUUUUUUUCCUUUUCAUCCAUUGAUUAAAACAUACAUGUUCUAAUAUCCCGGAGAAAUACAGGGAAAAAUAAGCAAUGAGUUAAUAUUUAAUCUCAGCUUCUUAUCAAAGAAAGGCAGGUUAAAAUAAGUUAUGAAUAAUAAAAGUCAGUGAGAGUGUAGUGAGAUGCAUAUUCCGUGAUGGGGAGAAAUUAUUAAGACACUUAAGGGUAAUUUGGUUAUAGGUCUUACACUUUCUGGAGGUACGGAUUUUAGACUUUGAAGCCAGGACACCUGAGAGUGAAUUCUGACUUCAUCACUUACCAAAAGCAUGAAUUUGAGAAUUUACCUACCUUCUUGGUGCUUUUUCAUCAGUACAUAGAGAUAAUCAUCAUAUUUCUCUCAUGGGGUAUUUUUAAAGAUUAAAUUAUGUCAUACUUACUAUAUUUCACAUACAUAUUCCACAAGCUUACUCUUAAUUAAUGGAAUGAGCAUUUUCCAAGUGGUUAUGAGGCAGCAUUGAAAAAUAGCAUUAUCUGUGGUAUUCAAUCAUUUAACAAAUGGGUUUGAGGAUGAAUAUUAAAUCAGGCUCUAUUCCCAAUAUAGUGGAUAUAUAAUUAGGUAGAAAAAAGAUAUAUACUCCCUGACCUCUUUUUGCCUGGAAGGGAAGAAAAGCAUUCAAUGCCUAAUUACAACUAAAGACUAGUGAGUUGCAAGCUAGGACAAGCACUAGGGGAGGCUUACCUUAGUACCUGGGGUCAGGAGAGCCCCCUGCUGAAGUGCACUUGGGUCUUGGAUGAAAGGAUGUAUGGAAAGCUCAGACUGAUUAAAAACAACAACAACAACAACAACAACAGAAAAACUUAUACCUUAGCAUAUUCUAGUUUAAUUAAAUAAAGCCAGGUUAUUGUGAUGCUCCCAUAAGCCAUACAGCUAUAGAGCCAAAUUCUGUACAGAGGUGGGGUGGGCUUCAGGCUGGAGCGUGACGUAAGCCCCUAAUGCAUUGGUGCUGGUUCAUCUGAUUUCCAAAGCUCUAAGGUUCAUCCCUGAGGCAGAUGCCCAGAAAUGCCUAGGCCUUAAACUGAGAGUACCAACUCUUCUAUCAUCUUUCAGCAGCUGUGCUGUAAGAAGUGCAGUUUUGGGUAGUUUUUCUAAGGCGCAUAUUUGUACCCUUCUCUAAGCACUCUGUAUUCUUCCUUUGGCUCAGCUGCAUUUCAGAAUUGGUCUCAACAUUACCUAACAGAGUCCAGGUUAUUCUUUAAUCUUGUGUCCAGAGUGUUUUAUUGAAAGCCACCAUCAAACAUGCCAUCUGAAAUUCACUUCUUAAUUUGUUCUAAGUAUAUUGAAGAUCUUUUCUUAAAUCAUCCUGCUUCUUAUGAAAACCCAUGUAUCAUUUUAUUUAGAAUUUAGUACUAAAAAGAGUUUUAUCUAUUUUCUAGACACUGGUAUACUGCUUAAUCUCUGAUGUGAAUUAUGGUCCUGGCUGCCAGGGUAUUCAUAAUCAAAAUGUCCAAUCACAGGAACCAUAUAGACUGGAUGCAGGCUUCCUUUUCCUUUGGCCCUGUUUCUCGGUCUUUUAAAUUUAUCAUAUAUUUUGAUUAAAGCAUUCUAAAUCCUUUGUGAUAAAAGUAUGGUUAUAAAUAAACAAACUAAAAAUAUGACAUAUCAUCAUUUUAAGUUAAUACUUAUAAAUAAACUAAGCACAUUUUUGGAUGGUUAUUAUUUUAAAAACAAGAACUGGAAAUGUAACAUCAGUAGAGUGUUUACCUUGUAGGCACUAGGCCCUGGAUUCAAUUCUCAGCACUACAAAAAAACAAAAAAAGUUUGCUGGACAUGGUGUUGCACACCUAUCAUCCCAGGAGUCUGAGGCAGGAGGAUUGCAAGUUUGAGACCAACCUCCACACCUUAGUGAGACCAUGUCUCAAAAUAAAAUAAAUAGGGCUGGGAUGUAGGUCAGUGGUAGAGAGCCCCUGGGUUCAAUCCCCAGUACCAAAAAUAACAACAAAAACUAAUAAAGCACAAACUAAUGACUGAAAGAAUAGAACUUAAUAGGAUUAGCUGUGGUAGUGAUUAGGGGGAGGUUAGAAGUCUGUUAAAUCUGCUAGUUUGUGCUCUAAAGCCUGGGAGCCCUACAGCAGAUUUUGUAGGUGUGUCCCACAGAGAAUUCUGAUCUCCACCCAUUUCUUUGGAGCUUCGCUGUCCUAGAAGGACUUGGGAAGGUCCCAAACCAGAAAAACUGAACAAGCCUUACUCACUUCCAUACACAACGUGUUCUCAGUGCUCAAGACUUAAAAAUAGGCCCCUGUCAGGCAGAAUCCUUAAGGCAUGCUGCAUCUUGACUCUGCACAUCUUGUGCUUAAACCCUAGCAGAAACAAAAAGAACAGCCUGGGGAUAUGUGAAGAGAUAUUAUCAGGCUUAGUAAAAGUGCAGAGGCAGAGUGAAUUACCCUGUGAUGGGGAUUUAGAACUUUCAGGAUUCAGGUCAUCUUAGGGGUUGUCUAGAAUCUGCUGUACAAGGGAGAAAGGAAGGAGGGAAAGUCACACCUGCCAAAUGUCUACGUGUGCCAGGCACCGUGAGUUCAUGUCCACCUUGUUUGUAAUGACCAUGAUGCUCUUUCUCUUUAAGACAAGCAGAGGUAUUCACAUGCAGCUUUCUCUUUGGUGUUUAGAGAACUCCCUCCCACACCUUUUCAGAGUACCAUUUGUCUUGUUGGAAAACAAUAAAAACUUGAAUCAUAGAUUUCAAGUCCUUAGUGACUCUUAAUCCAAUUUCAAUUAAUAUUUUACAAUAAAGCUAACAAGUGAACUUUUCUCAAUGUUAUUGAGAAUUUAGUUCAAAAUAAAAAGGUUCUUUAAUUGGUCUUAGAGAUGUUGGCUGUACCAGAUCAAUCUCUAGGGAUUAGGUGUGAUUUGAAAAAUGUGAAAGAUAAAACAAAGGCAAGGAGUGGACCCUGUUGGAACUACUUUUCAUCACAGAUGAAAUCUGGUUUAUGGUCUGAUACUAGCAAUCACAUUAAGUUACACAUUCAUGCCAAUACUACUCCAUUUUCUGAUCCCUCUACUAUAAAUUAUCUGUCUAAUCAUAAGUAAUAAAAUAAUACAUUUUCUUUCCUGAAAUCUGCUAGGCUGAACAACUUUUAUCAAGAUGAUAAAGGAUUUUUCAACUCUCUCACCAAAAUUCUAAGUGCUACUCCAUGGUUGUCUGUUUUCAAAGAUAUGCAAAUGUGUCCAAAGUAUAUGUCAGACAAAUAGACUUUCUAAAGUCACAGAAAUAAGAAUUAAAAGACAUUUGGAAGAGAAGUCCAGCUUGAGUUGAUCUUGCUCAAACUCCUGAUUUUACAGGUAAAGAAAAAAUGAAAGCUAUAAAGCUGAAAGAGAUUAUCCACUGGGAUUCCAGGGUUCCUGUAAUCAUAUCAUAGUAAAGAUACUAUUUUGAGUAUCAUUUUGGCAAAAUCCCACAUAUACCAGUGCAUUUCCUUAUUUUCUAGGCUGCAUGGGAUUGUAAUGUUUCCAAUAAUUUCAGAGAUCAUCCAAGUCCAAACCUUUCAUCUAGAAAUGAGAACAUUAAGACCAAGAGAAGCAAAAUACCCAAAGUCCCGUAGCUGAAGAGUAGCACAGUUGGAACUGGAAUCUACUUUCUUAACUUGUAGGUCAACUCUUUUCUGCCAAGAGGUAUCUUAGCUCAGUAAAAUAGGAAGCCUAAUGAGGUUGUUCUCAAGCAUGAAAUAAUGUGAAGUAAGAAAUUGAAAAAGAUGUUGCUUCAACAGCCCGCAUGUAUCACUAAAGCCUGCAGCAAGUAAGGGUUAGCAGGGCUGAUUUUACUUACUACUUUUCAGUGCAGGAUUAGAAGCUCCUCCUGGAAUGUGCAGUUCAGACAUUAGCACUGGGCUUUCUGCUGUAUGCCAUAGCUAUCUGGGACAAACCUGAUCACGUGGUCAAGUAGAUUUCCUCAAGGUUAUAUAUUAAGUCAGCAGCUCAAACAAAUCAGAACUCAAGGUGCUUUUAGUAAAGUCCAACCCAAGAAAGAACGAUACAGCAAAAACUGCUUCAUUUUUAGUAUCACCUAUUUUCCACUCAGUGCUUUCCCUUUCCUUCUGUUAUUUUAACAUAUGAACACUGGGACACAUGGGACUUGGAUAUAUGUAAGAAGGGAAACCAGCAACUGAGAGUCUAAGUUAGGUACUGAUAGCAGUUAGGUCAAUAGCAAGAAGGGAAGGCAUGUACAUGGGUUCACAGUUAGUUUAAAACAUUCAAUCAGACCUAGCCAGGUAUUCAGACCAAACAGUCAAGUAAGGCUUAGGUGAACAAAUCCAGGGAGAUAUUUGGGAAACAAACAAACAAACAACAACAAAACCAAGACAAACAGGAUGAUCUGGAAUAAGUAAACAACAAACUAUCAUGUUUAUACAUGACAGACACAGUUUUUAUGUGUCAAUUAUUCUUUAAUAAAGAUGAGAGGAGGGAGAAAGAAAAUUUACCAAACUUUGUACACAAAUGUUAAUAGCAACAUUAUUCAUAAUAGCCAACAAAUGGAAACAACCCAAAUGUCUACCAACUGCUGGAACAAAGCUAUAUCCAUACAAUUAAGUAUUAUUUGAUGAUAAAAAGAAAUGCUGAUACAGAAUGGAUUAACCUCGAAACACUGUGCUACAUACAAGAAAAUGGUCAUAAAAGGCUGCAUAAUGUCUGAUAUCAUUUACAUGAAAUGUGCAGAAUAGGCAAAUCUAUAGAGAAAGUAGAUUGGUGGGUACUAGGGCCUGGGGUGGGCUGAUGGGAGUGGUGGGAACAGUGACUGCUAGUAAGUAUGGAGUUUUGUUCUGGAUUAUGAAAAUCUUCUGAAACUAGAUAAUGGUGAUGAUUGUACAACUCCAUGAAUAUAGUAAAACCACUGAACUGUUCACUUUAGAAAAGUUACAAAAAUUGCAUUUUAUGGCAUGUAAAUUAUAUAUAUCAAUAAAGCUAUUUUACAAAGGGGAAACAAAGAAGAAAAUAGGCUCUUGAAAGUGACAACAGCCCAUUGCUUGAAACAAAGGUGUGAUUAAAUGGUUUUUGCUAGUGCAGAAAAAGGGCAUCCUGGUGUUGAACUUGGGGUUUGCGGGUAGAUGUUGGUACUACUCUUGACUGAGGUAGGGAGUGUGUGGUCCAGAGAGGGCAGAUCAGACACACGGUACACUGUGUACUCACAUCUAGUCAUUCAAAAGCACAUGUUUCCUGAGUGCCUACUAUGUGCCCAGUACAGUGCCAUAUUGUGCCAUAUUCUUGCCUGUUAGAAACAAAGACUUUGCACUCUUGAAAGUUUUGUACUAGUGCAGGAAAUAUGAUAAAGGAAUGAAGGUGUAAGGUGAAAUCCAGUCAGUACUCAUCGGUACUUCAGGGUUAUAGGAGAGAGAGUCGUGAUAGUGCCACAAAGUAUGGUGGCCUGGGAGGGCUUUUCAAAGGUGUCAUUGUAACACUCAAGUAUAAUGAACAAGUAUAAUACUGCCAAUCUUGUUACCUCCGGUGUAUGGGAGAAUACUUCUAGUCCAUGGUUUAUUAGUUAUUUUACCCUUUGGAAAUCCUUUCUCUCUGGUCUUUAGGAUGACAAACAGCUAAACUGACUAGAUGUUCCAUUUAAUAGUAAAAUAUUCAUGAUAUCCUUCAAACCACCUCCAUAGAUAGUGAUUCUUGGUAUUCUUUCUUUUUCUAUAUAUCACUAGAUCAUAAUUAUCACUUGAGAGAAGGCAAUUGGUAAGUAAAAAUUAGGAUUGAAAUACAAAGGAAUUAACGAAGAGGAUGGUAACAAUAGCGAACUUUACUGGGAUUAACUAAAUCUAAGACAGUGUGAGUUUCCCAACCUUUAUCUUGCUCCCUCAACUGUUACUUCUAAAGAAAGAGGAAAAGAACUGUAUUAGUCAGGUUCAGGCAGAGAAAUAGAAACCAUCUUGAGUAUCUAUAGUAUCUAACAGGGACCCUAAUGCUGGGAAUGAGGAACACAAGUAAUAGGGAAGCAGAAAGCCAAAUGAAGCCGCAAAGGCAUCUGGGAGCUUGCCCACAGGUUAGCCGCCACACCCUUCACCUGGAAGGAGAUGGUAUCAACCAUGUGCAGAAGGUGAAAUCACCUGACCAAAGCUGGAAUUAUGGUGGGCUUGUUUGCCAAGAGGUGGAACCAUAUAGAAAAUGUAGCUGUUGCCAGAAUCACGGGCACAAUUAGGGGUGUAAAGGGAUGGAUAAAAUGCUUUGAAUUCUCCUUGAAACCCCUGCCUUCUAACUAGCAUAGUGCUUCCCAUGGGUGAAACCCAGCCAGAAGCUUAUAAAAGCCUGAGGAAGGUAUCCUACAGGACAUAUCCUCUGUGAUACAGAGAGGAAGAAUAGGGUAGGGUGGGGGAGCCAUCUGAAGGCAUAUAGGGUCAGAACUGUGAGAGAAGAUGUAAGAAUGCCCUCAAAUGUCCUUCCGUGAGCCAAGUCCCUCAAAUGUCCUUACCAUGAGCCAAGUCCUGCGUUAGGUCCUCUCACAAACACAUUCUCAUUUAGUCAUCACAGCUGUGUUUCUUUGAAGAUGAGAAUGAUUAUCAACUUCUUAAAGGUGAAAAACCCAGAAUCAGAGGGUUUUUGGAAUCUGUUCAUGGUAAGUCACUAAGUAUAGUGAAGUCAGGAUUCAAACCCAUCUCACCCAAAUUGUUAACCUUCUCUUUCUACUGUAUUCUUGUCCCCUCUGGAGAUUAGUGUGGGGCAACAUCUUCUGCUGAGUUUCCCUUUUCACCUCUCCUGCAGUCCCCAGGUAACUUGUGCAGAGCACAGGUAGAGUCUUUGUAUUCCAUCCUAAGUCUAGAGGACAAGGAAAUACAAUCUUAGAUUCUAACUGAAUGUCAUUUCACAUAUAAUUGUUGAGGUUUGAAAAAUGACAGUGUUGAAAUCGUUUCUGUUGAGUAGAUUUGAAUACUCUCUUCUCUACUGCAAAGAUGAGCUUAGAUACCCAAGGCCACAUUUUCAGACACCAAGAAUGAUUUUCAGGGGUGGAGGUGUUUGCUUCAGGCAAUGAGGUAAGAGCUAAAAGAGCCAGGGUGGGGCUUUUCCUCCCCAGAUCUCAGGUGGAGCUUCUAGGUUGACAGCAAAGUCCUCCUUUCAUUUAUAAAUGGACUAUAUUUGCUCUGGAAGUAUCUGGGAGGAUAAAUAUGGGAUCCCACAGAAGCCACAAUGUUAUUUUUGCAGAGUCUUUCCUCAUUAUAACUUCAGCUCAAGUAUCUUCUUUUUUUCUUUCUCAACCUCUUUUUUUCUCAUGUGUGAAAUGCAUUCACGUAUAUGAUUGUGUGUAUGAAUUCACACAUAGAUACUCUUUCUAAUUAAGAAUUCUGAAAAAAUACAAAGGCUGAUCAUCUCUUCAAACCUUACCUGACACAAAGAUGUUUGGUGUUACUUUUCCUAGUUUUUUUUUUUUUUUUGUUUUCUACCACAGGUGAUGAGACUGUCCUAAAAUGUGGUUCAAAUGUGGUCAAAUUCUAUCUUGAAAAAAUACUGAAUUCUAAAGGAGGUACUGCCACAGUCCGGCUGCAGCAAAAUAGCCAGGGGUGUGGGGGGUGACGAAGAACUUGUGUAGAUUGAUACAGCAGGAGUGGGAGCCAUUUAUUGUAGGACCGGAGCAGUAUUUAUACAUUCCACACAGCUUAUCUUAAUUAGCAUAAACUAGAUACAUUAGUCAACCAAUCAGGAAUCUCCACACUUAAUGGCUCCCUGGCGUUACUUCACAAACCACUCCCACUGGCAAAAUACCAGGCGCCAUCCAGACUUGUUUACAGACUCUAACAAGGUACAAAUUAAAUAAUGACUAUGUGAUGUUAAUGACCAUGUAAUUAUUUUAAAAAACAUUUGAUAGCAUGUGUCACUUUGCUAUUAAUUAGAUGCAUACUAAUUUUGUCUUGAGAGAUAUCAGAACAUGAAUGAGAUUGGGGCAAAGAUGCUUAGCCUCAAUUUAAGUUCCACUUUAUUAAUAAGCAAAGCUUUAGGUACCCUUCAGUGGCAGGCAGAAUAAUGGGCUAUAAAGGGUGUCUGUCUUCUAAUCCUUAGACUCUGUGAAUCUAUUUGAACACAUGGAAAAAGGGAAAUUAAGGUUGUAGAUGGAAUUAAGAUUGCUAAUCAACAUGAGUUUAAAAUAAAGAUUUUAUCCAGGUGAAUUCAGUGCAAUCACAGGGCCCUUACCUAUGGACAAGGAAGGAAGAGGAGUCUGUGUAAGAGUGACAAGAUGUAAAAAAUGACUGAUUGAUGGUUGAUAACUUUAGAGAUGGAAAGAAGAAACAAGCCAAGGAUGGUGGGUAAUCUCUAGCAGCUAGAAGAGGGAGGCAAACAGAUUUCUCUCCUAGAACCUCCAAAAAAGACACUAUGUUAGCUUAGUCAUACUCAUGUUGGAAUUGUGACCUGCAGAACUAUAAGAUAAUAAAUGUUAUUGUUUUAAGCUAUUGAAAUUGUGGCAAUUUAUUACAGCAUCUAAGGAAAAGUAAUACGUCUUUUAACUCAGGUUAGGCCUCUAGAAAACCAUCAAAAAAACAGCUUAAAAAUAACAAUGUCUGUAUAUUAUAGAACAAGUGAUAUUAGUGUUUAUAACAAAAAGGUCUAAAAAUUUUAUGGCUUCAUAUAAUUAAAAUUUACCACUUGUUCCAAAUAAUUCAGACAAAUAUUUCUAGUCUGGUUACUUUCCUUAUGAUCAUUCCAAGUUCAGCCUUCUUCCAUCUUGUGGUUCCAAUUUCCUCCAUGACUUUAGAAUUCUUCCCAUUCACUGAAGGAAAGAGUGUUUGGAAGAUUGUGUGGAAGUAUUUGAUAAACCUGGCCCGGAAAUGGAACAUUGCUUCCACCCACAUUCUGUUGCCGGAGCUCAGGUGAAUGGACAUACCUAAAUUCAAGAAAGGCCAUGAAAUGUAGUUGAGCCAUGUUUCCUUAAAGGAAAGAAAAUUUGGAAUUUGACUAAAGCAUAGCAAUCUCAUCCACAAUUGAGCAAGGACAUUUUUUCUUAAAAUAUAAAAACACAAAGACAAGGUAAAAAUAAUUAACAAAUUCCAUUUCUAAGUAAAGUCAAAUAAAAGUAAAAAGUAUAGUAGGUAAGCAGUCAUUAGGUCCAAUUUGAAUCAUUUACUCCGCCACUGAAUAAUUUCUGAAAAAUUACUUAAUGUCUCUGGACCUUAAUUUUCUCAUAUUACAGAAAUAAAAAUAUGCCUACCUCAAUCUUUUUCUUUUUGUUCUAUCUUUAAUACUUUUCAGAUUUUUAUUAAAGAGUGGAAAGAUGAGAAACAACAGUUUGUUUGUUUGUUUGCAGGUACAUGUCAGAGAAUGUGUUUAUUUUAGAACGAUUUUUUAUUAAUUUUCCCCAAAUUUAAUUUGCUAAUUUACAAAGGUAUUGUUUCUUUUUAUUAGGUUCCCUAUAUGGACAAGCGAUUUUUAUAGCUUAAGUAUAGCCCAGCAGUUUCAUAUAGAUAAACCUAAUUGAUUACAGUAAAAUAAUAUUUUGGCCCCUUUUGUAUAACCCAGAAAUGAGAUAGGAGGCUCUUUAUGAUUACUCAAAGUCUUCACUGUUAGUUUCCAACAUGAUAUUUUAUUUUCUUCUUAGUAUUUUGCAAUUUUGUAAUUUAUAUGUUUAUUUGCUUGCUUAACCUAUUUCUAGACGACCAUAAACUUCAUGGGAGAGGAUGCUUUAUUUCACUCAUUACACUAACCAACACCUAGCAGAGUUCUGAAUUACUAGCUUGAUACUUAUUUGUUGAAUGUGAAAAUAGAGUCACUCCAAGAUUGAUUAUAAAACUGAUGUGACAAUAUAAUGUAUCUUUUAAUAAGACAUUGGAAAUAAAUUGCAUAUAUUCCAGAUAGUAUCUUUCAAUUGUUUUACUUUGAUUUUUAUGAAAUUCAGGAUUAGUUUUAAUUUUUAUGAAAUUCAGGAUUAGUUUUACUUAAUUUUGAAUGACAACUAAAAAUACCAUCUCAUUGGAGUACCUUGAAAAAGCAGUGCCUGGCCUUCUAUAUAUGCUUUAGUCUGAAUUAUUUUGGAGAGCUACAGACUGAAAUUUUGGAAUCCACGAUUCAGUAUAACCAGGAGUAACAUAGUUGGGAAGGACAUGGAUCCUACUCAAUCUGUUUUUACCCCAAAGCUCCAAGACUGGUACAAAUUUAUUCAAUUUCUAACAUCUUUUUAUAAGAAGAGUCCACACUCAACAUUUGAAACCACUACCAACAUAUAUCACAUAUAAUGUUCCCUGUCUGAGUUAAACCAUUUUGCUUAGGUCUACUUCCUCUUGUUGGGAAGUGAAAAUAGAUAGGAUCUCAUCUUUUGGGUGAGAAAAUUAUUCAGUGCCCAGAAAACCAUCUUUCAAUUAUCACUAAUCCUCAUUAUCCCUCCUUCGUGUGGUUUUGAGAUGUUUUAUACUAAUCUUGAAAAAUAUCCCAUCUCCAGGCAAAACUGAUAGUAAAACAGCAACCCUGAUGUUGGUGUGCAUGUUAAGACAUUGUUCUGACUCAAAGAAUCGGAAUGUAGUUUACUAUGUGGGAUAAACCCUGUGAAAACACCUCCAUGAUCAAAAUAAAAGAUGAAAAAGAAGAAUACACUUGGGCCUCAGGGAGAGAAUUAGAUCUGAUGGUAUCGGGUGCAAAUGUAAUUUUUUUUUUUAAGUCUUGUGAGCAUUUUUAUGAGCAACAACAGGACAGGACAAGAAUAAAGUAGCCAGAGAGAAUUGCACUUGAAAAUGUUCCUGCCCAUUGGCUCAAAUAAAUAAUAAAAAAUAUGACCCUUGGGUAGAAUUUUUAUUUCUUUAUUUUAUCUAUUAAUCACUCACUUCUUUCCAAACUUCAUUUUUGCUUUUCUUUUUCUUUUUUAACUUCUGCAUUCUCUGGGUUGCUGCUGCUACAACAGAUGUUGCCACUUGGCAUUCGAAUAUCAAGAAACAGCCAGCCAAGGAGGAAGAGGGGACCCCUGAAGCCUUGUUUAUCUAUAACUCAGCUUGUGAUAACAUUUUCAAGAGAAGAUUGCCUGCCAAACUAAUUCAGAAAAGGUGGUCAUAAUGUUUUCUACUGUCAGAGACAAUGUCAUGUAAAUAUAGCAUUGUGUACAAGAUAAAAUAAGAAAAAAAGAUAUCCCCUGGGAGAUGGGGCAGCAACGGGGUGCUGUGUGGAGCAGCCCUAGUAAUGUGAAGGAGUCAAGACAAAACUUGUUUCUGCUCUGGAAGAAGAGAGCUUUCUUGAUGCAAUUUUCUUUCCAUUUCUUGAUGGAAACUUUCUUUCCAUCUUCUGUGAUAUUGUCUUUUCCUAGGCAGGAGGCUUUCCUACCUACUCUGUUUUAAUCUAUGGUUAAUUGUCUGCCAUUAGCCCAUGAGAACCUUGGGUAAAAUCCCCUCCUUACCCCUGUCUUAUGAGCUGUCUACAUUCUCACUUGUAGAAAAUAAACCACUCUCUACCCUCUAGCUAUCAUUUCAACUCUGGAUCUCAUAUUUCCAAUUGCCAUUUAGAAUUCUCCAUAGAGAUUUGCAUUGUGAUUUGUUGUAGGGUGGAAUUCAUAGGAAUGAUCCACUUCUCUCAUCUAGAGAGCAAACAAAACACACUGGUAACAAUCUGUGCCCUGGGGUAGAUGUUCCUGUAUCUUUUAUAGAAUCUCAGUGUAAGUAUUCUGUUCGCAGGGAAUUCCCAAUGUGAGUUUUGCCUAGUAUAUAGUCACAUGAAUUAAUGUGGCAAAACACUAACUAUAUCAUAGAUUCUAGGAGAUAAUUAUUAAUAUUUUAUAGCAAGCAAUUUAGAGUGACUAGAGCUGGGUUGAUGAGUGACAAACAGAAAUUAGAAUUCCUUGGCUCCCAGUUUGUUUUUAUCUUCUUAGGGUUUGCUCUGCCUCAUUUUCUUGAGCCAGUCAGUCACUGGCUAAGAGUUGCCUGUGGGCCUUCUUGCUCUUCCAGGCAAAGGCUCAGGAACACUCUUGUAGAAAUCCAAAGAGAGUUAUUGGAGUGAGCUGUCAGAAGCAAAAACAUGGAGAGGCAAGGGGAGGGUCAUACAGAAUGGUUAAUGCUGACAACAUCCACUGCACCAAGAGAAAAUUUGGUGUCUUAUAAAACAUAGUACUAAUAUAAAUCUGAUAUUGUCUUGGAAAUUCCUGUAAAAUUUGAAAUAAACUGAUACUUUCAGAAUAACACUGUCUCUGUUCAAGACUUAGAUCUCACACUGUUUCUAAGAACACUUCUGUUGACUCCUUACUCAGGUCCCUCAGCUGUGCAUGCAGCUUGGACAUUUCACUUGGUGACAAAGUUGGCAAUAGAAUGGCAUACUGAGGGGCACUUAGGGCAAACGACAUUGCACUAGAGGGGUAAUUUGGCAGAGAGAGUCUUAUACUUCCUUUCUGUUCCCAGAAUACUGAUUUUUAACUGGGCCUCUGAUAGAUAACAAGAGAUACCUGAGAAAUUCUUAACAACAACAAAACCUCCCAAACCUGGAUCUACUUUCAUGUCAAAAAAUUAGAAAAGGUAUAGAGAAACAAUACUUUUUGCUUGUUUAUUCUAAAAUAAGAAAAUUUGAAAACACCAAUAAUAUUGUACUUCAAAAUAGCAUCCUUACCUACUUAUUUCAGCAAAGUAGUCAUUCCUUAAUUGCCUCCAGGGAUAGCUAUGAGUUAGAUGAGACAACCCUUAUUUAUUUAUUUAUUUAUUUAUUUAUUUAUUUAUUUAUUGGUGCUUAACACUGAAUCACACCCCCAGCCCUUUUUAAUUUUUAUUUUGAGACAGGGUCUCACUAAAGUUGCUUUGGGCCUUGCUAAUUUGCUGAGGCUGGCUUUGAACUUGCAAUCCUCCUGUAUCCUCCUGGGAGUUGCUGGGAGUCACCAUGCCUGGCAAGACAACCAAUAUUUUUACAUUAAAGUUAUACUUUGCUCAGUCUCAGAAGUGUGAGAUGCAAUUUAGUUAUUUUACUUACCAGAAUUUACUCAGAAUGGUUUUAAUUAUUUACAAACAUUAAAAACAUUAAAGGUGAUUACCUUUAAGCGAUAAAAUAUAUCCCACCACUGGCAGCUUUAUUUAGAAGGCAUGGUAUAAGAAAUGUUAUCAUUCUAGGUAUAAAAAGCCCUGAGGUACUAAGGUGGAAUUACUUGGAUAUUUCAUGUGAAUGCAGAUUUUUUUUUUUUUUUUGCCAAAUUAUUCAGAUAUUUUACUGAUUUUUUUUCUGUAGUGCAUAGUGUGUUCAAACUUUGUUAUGGUUAGGGUAUCUUAGCAGAUACUCAGAUUUUUUUUUCAGUAUUAUGGCCUAAAAAUAAUCACAUAAAUUAUAUAACAUAAGGGAUCAAAUCUUUGAAGAAUGUGGCAGAAGCACAAUUUAAGUCAGAGUUCCCUUUAAAGUCUAUGCUUUCAUAUUUAUAGAAAUAUAAUACUGUUUUUGGGUUGCUGUGGUCAAAUAACCAGAGCUGGGAAUGAUGAAGUAGGGGUUAAAUAUGCUCCUUGCAUUUGUGACCAUUGUACAAAUCUAUUGUGAGUUAACUGUUUCUGCUAUGCAGUAAUUAAUGCAUUUUGUGUAUUUUCCAGUUACAUAAGAACAAACUUCAUUUUUAAAAUGCUAAACAUAGUUAAACCUUGGGCUGGAAGUCAAGCUCAGUGACAAGGUACUUGCCUUGAAUGCUUGCAUAUGUGAGCCCUGGGUUUGAACAUCUCAAGCAUCACCAAAAAACAAAGACUAAAAGAAUUUUUAAAAAAAGGGACAGAAGCAAAAUUCCUUGUGGUCUGUGAUUCAAAUUUACAGAAAGACUUGCUCAGGUGAGCAAGAAAAGAGCACACAGAACUUUUAAAAAUAAAAGUAGUUUUCUUUAAUUUCUGCUGCCAAAUUCUUGAAACACUUCUCUACAUCAUAGGGAACAGAAGAAUUUCAUUUGACUAAAGGAAAAAUAAUUCUGAUGUUGUAUCACAGAAUAUUUCAGAAUUAUAUAUAUUUUUAAAAUCCCAAUGACAUUCUUUAUAGAACUAGAAAAAGCAAUCAUAAAAUUCAUUUGGAAAAAUAAGAGGUUCAGAAUAGCCAAAGUAAUCCUUAGCAAGAAGAGUGAAACAGGAGGCAUCACAAUACCAGACAUUAAACUAUACUGCAGAGCAAUAGUAACAAAAAUGGCAUGGUAUUUGCACCAAAAUAGACAUGCAAACAAAUGAGAGACAAACCCACAUAAAUAUGGUUAUUCUCUCACUUUAAAAGUACAUUAUUAGGUUGUUCUUCACUUUUCUUGUCUCCAGGCUGUGUAAUCUUUCACUUUAAACUUAUCCUUCAGGUGUAAAGUUUUCACUUUUUUAACAAUCUUUUGCUUUAACACGAGUGAAAUUUAAAAAAAAAUAAAAUUUGGUUUAAAUUAAUAUGCACCAAAUUAUUGUUAAUAGAGAACUGACAUUACUUAUCUUUCUGCAUCUUCUGGUAGCAUUUUCUAGAAAGCUGGCCAAGAUUAGAAAGAACACUGUGUCCAUAAGCCAGUGAAAAAAUAAUUAACUAAGCAGGGACUAAAGUCAUAAUUGUGUGUGUGUGUGUUUGUGUAUGUGUGUUUGUGCUGUGUCUACUAAAAUAAAGUACUGAGUGACCAAAAGUCCUGGCAAGAACAAUUAAAGGAGGAAUAGUUUAUCGGGGGCUCACAGGUUCAGCAGUCUCAAUUCUUAGACAGCUGGUUCCAUUCCUUGGGGUGUGAGACGAGGCAGAACAUCAUGGCAGAAGGGUGUGGAUGGGGAAAGCUGCUGGGAACUUGGCACCCAGGAAGCAGAAAUAGAGAUCCACUCUUCAGGGACAAAGUAUGUACCCCAAAGGCAAGCCUCCAAUGACCCACCUCCUCCAGCCACACCCUACUUGCCUUCAGUCACCACCCAGUUAAUAACUAUCAGGGGAUUAAUGCACUGAUUAAGACUCUUAUACCCCAAUCAUUUCACCUCUAAGCUUUCUUGCACUUCUCACUCAUGAGCUUUGGGGGGAAUUUAAUAUAUAAAUGAUAACAAUGUGAAAGAAGAGUUAUUUGAGGAGGAGAAGGGAGGAGUGGAGGAAUCUAUGGAGGAAUCUUUUAGGAAAUAGAUACAGUACGCUUAUUCCCAUCUGUGGAGCUGAAGCUAUGAAAAGUUACUGGCAGGCAGAGUGUGUGUCUGUGCUGAUGGACGUGCUCGUUAGAAUGGAAAUAUCAAUAGAAACAAAGUGACUGAAGAGAUGAGAGUAUCAGGGAUCCAGGUGGAGGGUCUGGAUUUUGGUAAAGAGUUGAAAGUUCAAUUCAAUGUAACCAAAGAAAUGCAGAGUUCAGGUAAUGAUGGGAAAGUCAGGGGAGUAGGCGAUGUCAGGGUAGAGGAAAAGACACUGACUAGCCAUUUGGGAGGAUAGGAGAGGGAAUAAACUAGGCAUGUGUGGUAGGAAUGCCCAUUCAAUGCUAGUGAUCAGGAAUAUAAAAAUAUAAAGUGGGAUCAAUCAGUAUAGUCCUAGGGUGGCCAGGGAAGUCUAGUUUAAGUUGUUAAUGUUUUCUGUAUUAUCAUUUGAGAGCUAUUUCUCUUUGCUCAUUGGUUGUUUGGAUAACCCCAGGGUUUGCUCCAAGCCUAUUGCUGUCUGGAAUCACAGCCUUGGACUGUGGCAGCUGAUAAGAGAUAACAGAAACUGUAGAAGGUGUCUGGAGAAGAGAGAAGUGGUUUUUCUCUUAGCUUGAGUGUGUUCCCUACAAGUUGAAGAUAAGAGAGCUGGGGGAGGCCAGUUUACAGGUCAACAAGCAGGAAGAAAGGGCCUUGGGAUGAAUAGCCAACCCCAUCUUAUCCUAGACAGUAAGGCUCCAUCCUAUUGUUGAUUCUGGGAGUAAAAUGGUUUCCUUGGUUACCAGAGCCUGCUUAUUCAGUCAGGCCAAAAGCAAGUAAGCCAUGGCAGGUCUACAAGCUUUUCUUAACAUCUUUAAUAUCACUCUCUUUUUCCAUCUAGGUGCAUUAUUACUACUCUUAUUUCCCAUAAUUACUUAUUUUCUUCUAUGUUCAGCCCCGAAAUUGGGAGUCUUCUCUCAGGCAUGUCUUGGCUCUCUUCUCUGAUCAGUUUACACUCACAUUCCUACAACCCAUUUUCUAGUUCUCUCUUGAGCUUCCACCCUGUAUUUCCAUAUAGUGUCUGGAAAUUUCCAUGGAUAUAAACAUCAAAACUUCAAAUUCAGAAUGUUCAAAAUCAAAAUAUUUGCUCUCUCACUCCUGGGUCCUCUACACUGGACAGUAGAAUUACCACUUUCAGAACCUUCUAAACUGGAAGCUUCAGAAUUUCAUUACUUCAUGCUUUUCAUUCUCUGUUAUGUCCAUUUGGGUCCCAAGAACUACCCACCCAUGUAUUCACCAUUAUUUUUUACUCAUCUUCUUUUCUCCAUCCCCACUUUCCUCAGCAGCAAUACCAUCUCUCUCAAGGACUCCUUAUAGCUUCUUAACCCAGCUCCCCAGCUCUUGUCUCUCUCUGCUCUGGUCUUUAUGGCCAAAACCUAUCCUGUCAUUCAUGGUGUUCUGCUGCAGCUGAAUAAAAUCCAAACCAACAUGGCACUUGUGAUCUCCAAUCAGCUAUCUGUGGUCUUUCCAGGCUUAUUUUCUAUGCUAUAUGUAUCUUCACCACAUUAAUUGUAAAAAUAAAAACUGUGUCUCUUCCAUGUUCUCUUUCCUCUGUAUCUUUCCUCAUGUCAUUCCUUCAACAAUGGCUUUCUUCUUCUCUCCUACUCUGUUCCCAAUUAAAUAUUCCUGAUCCCUGGGAUAAACUGCAGAUGGCAUUACAACAUAUUAUUUCCAUCUGUAUGUAAAAUAUAAAUAUAUAAAAUGCCUAAAACAUGGCAAAUCAUGUAAUAGGCUUGAAAACAUAAUACAACUGCAACUAGGAUAUCAAUGAUUUCUUCUUUCAAUGUGUCCGGUUGAAAUAAGCAUGUGCAACAUUUCACAAGGUUCUUAUCCCAGUGGUGAAUGAAUCAGAAACGAUCCCACCAAUGAGGUGAUUUUUUAUUUGAACUCUUAAGAGGACUUAGUUGUGUUCUCUUAUUGAUGCUCUGAUAAUAUUUUUAUAAAAGGACUAAAUUAUUUUUGUUCAGAGUUGCCAAAUUAAAUCUACAGAAUCCAUAAAAAAGAUAAAUUUGGUCCAAAGCUUGAAGGCUUGACUCUCUUACAUUUUUCCAAGAAGAAAUCUGGUAGUUGUAUUAUGUUGAUCAUUCCAUGAGUUAUAGCUUUCUUUUUCUUAUCUAUAUCUCCCCAAAUUUUCCUUAAUAUGCUAGUAUUUUUUAUAAUUUGGAAAUGUAUGUAUGUGUCUGUGUAAUUGUAUAGAUAAUGUUUUGUAUUAGUCAGUGAUAGCUGCCUUUACACAAGACUGGGUGGUUUAAACAACAAAAUUUAUUUCUCAUAGUUCUGGAAGUUGAAAGUCCGAGAUCGAGGUGCUAGUAGGCACAUGUCUUCUGAGGCCUCUCUCCUCAGCUUCCAGACACAUUGCCACUGUAUCCUCUUAUGGUCUUUUUCCUGUGCAGGAGUGUCCCUGGUGUCUCCCUCCCCUCUUAUAAGAACACCAGUCGCAUUGGAUUAGGGCCCCAGCCUUAUUACCUCCUUAGUGGUCUAAUCUCUAAAUAUAGGCACAUUAGGGGCACAUAUGAAUUUGGGGCUGGGGACAGACACAAUUCAGUCCAUAGUAUUUAUGGAAACCUAUAUUAAACAUAUUUAUGGAAACUUAAAAAUGACAAGAUAUAUCAAUAGGAAUCUCAGUUUUCUUUGCUAAUCUAAACAUAAGGGUUUUGGAAUAAGAAAAUGUAAAUUGUUACUAGAGGCUUAUGUGUUAAACUCGAAAGUUCACUUCUUUAAUUUUUUUAUUUGUUCUUUUUAGUUAUAUAUUACAAUAGAAUGUAUUUUGACAUGUAAUACAUACAUGGAGUAUAACUUCCCAUUCUUGUGGUUGUAUAUUAUGAAGAGUUACACUGGUCAUGUAUUCAUAUAUGAAUACAGAAAAGUUACAUCCAAUUCAUUCUACUGCCUUUCCCAUUCCCAUCCUCCCCUCUUCCCCCCAUUCUCCCUGUCCAAUUCAGUGAACUUCCACUCCUUCAUCCCCGCCCUGCCUAUUCUGAGUCAGCAUCCACAUAUCAGAGAGAACAUUCAGCCUUGGGUUUUUUGGGAUUGGCUUAUUUCACUUAGCAUGAUAGUCUCCAGAUCCAUCCAUUUACUGGCAAAUGCCAUAAUUACAUUAUUCUUUAUGGCUGAGUAAUAUUCCAUUGUGUAUAUACACCACUUUUUCUUUAUCCAUUCAUUUGUUGAGGGGCAUUUAGGUUGGUUCCAUAGCUUUGCUGUUGUGAAUUGAGCUGCUAUAAACAUUGAUGUGGCUGUGUCACUGUGGUAUGCUGAUAACUGGGUCAAAUCAUUCCAAGUUUUCUAAGGAACCUCCAUAGUGCUUUCCAGAAUGGUUACACAAAUUUUUAGGCCCACUAACAAUGUAUGAGUAUACCUUUUCUCCCCCAUCCUCGCCAACAUUUAUUGUUACUUGUAUUCUUGGUAAUUGCUAUUCUGACUGGAAUGAGAGGAACUCUCAAUGGAGUUUUAAUUUGAAUUUCUCUAAUGGCUAACAUUUUUACAUAUAUUUGUUAACCAUUCCUACUUCUUCUGUGAAGUGUCUUUUCAGUACCUUAGCCUAUUUAUUGAUUAGGUUAUUUGUUUUUUUUUGGUGUUAAGUUUUUUGAGUUCUCUGUAUAACCUGGAGAGUAAUGCUCUGAGAUGCAGGUGGAAAAGAUUUUCUCCCAUUAUGUAGAUUCUCUUUUCAUGUUCUUGAUUGUUUCCUUUGCUGUGAAGAAGCUUUUUAGUUUGAUAUCAUCCCAUUUAUUUAUUCUUGAUUUUAUUUGUUGCACUUUGGGAGUCUUGUUGAGGAAUUUGGUUCCUAAGCUGACAUAUUGAAGAGUUGGGCCUGCUCUUUCUUCUAGUAGGUGCAGGGUCUCUGUUAUAAUGCUUAGGCCUUGAUCCACUUUAAGUUGAGUUUUGUGCAGGGUGAGAGAUAGGGGUUCAACUUCAUUUUGCUAACAUGGAUUUGCAGUUUUUCCCAGCACCAGUUGAAGAGGCUAUCAUUUUUUCAAUGUAUGUUUAUGGUGCCUUUGUUUAGUAUGAGAUAACUGUACUUACGUGGGUUUGUCUUUGUCUUAUAUUCUGUACCAUGGGUCUUCACAUCUGUUUUAGUGCCAAUACCAUGCUGUUUUUGUUACUGUAGCUCUGUAGUAUAAUUUAAAGUCUGGUAUUGUGAUGGCUCUGCUUCACUUUUCUUUCUGAGAAUUGCUUUGGCUUUUCUGGGCCUCUUAUUUUUCCAAAUGAAUUCCAUGGCUGCUUUUUCUAUUUCUAUGAAGAAUGUCAUCAGAACCUUAAUAGGAAUUGCAUUGAAUCUGUAUAAUGCUUUUGGUAUUUAAAAACAAUUUUUUUUAGUUGUAGAUGGACACAAAAUCUUUAUUUUUAUUUAUUUAUUUUUAUGUGGUGCUGAGGGUUAAACCCAGGGCCUCACACAUGUGAGGCAUUUGUUCUACCAUUGAGGUACAACCCCAGCCCUAGUAUGACCAUUUUGACAAUGUUAAUUCUGUUUAUCUAAGAACAUGGGAGAUCUUUCAUCUUCUAAGUUCUUCAAUUUUUUUCUUUAGAGUUCUGUAGUUUUCAUUGCAGAGAUCUUUCACCUCUUCUGUUAGGUUGGUUUCCAAGUGUUUUUGUUUUGUUUUGUUUUGUUUUGAGGCUAUUGUGAAUGGGAUAGUUUUCUUAAUUUCUCUUUUAGUCAAUUCAUCACCGAUAUAUAAGAAUGCAAUUGAUUUAUGGGUAUUAAUUUUAUAUCCUGAUACUUUGCUGAAUUUGUUUAUGAGUUCUAGAUGUUUUUUAGUGGAGUUUUUUGAUCUUCUAAAUAUAGAAUCAUAUUUUCAACAAAUAGGGAUAGUUUGAGUUCUUCUUUUUCUAUUUGUAGCCCUUUAAUUUCUUUAUUUUGUCUAAUUGCUUUGACUAGAAUUUUCAGGACCAUGUUCAAUAGAAGUGGUGAAAGAUGGCAUUCCUGUCUUGUUCCAAUUUUUAGAGGGAAUACUUUCAAUUUUUCUCCAUUUAUAAUGAUAUUGACCUUGGGUUUAAUAUAUAUAGCUUUUGUAAUUUUGAGGUAUGUUCCUAUUAUCCCUAGUAUUUCUAGUGUUUUGAAGAUGAAUGGAUGCUGUAUUUUGUCAAAUGCUUUUUCUGCAUCUACUGAGAUAACCAUGUAGUUCUGUCUUUAAGUCUAUUGCUGUGAUGAAUUAUUUUAAUUGAUUUCUAUAUGUUGAAUCAAUUUUGCAUCCUGGGAUGAACCCCAUGAUCAUGGUGCACUAACUUUUUAAUGUUUUUGUCAGUAUUUUAUUAAGAAUUUUUGCAAUUAUGUUUAUGAAAGAAAUUUUCUUGGUGUGCCUAGAAAGUUCAUUUUUGAAUCAUUUCACAUAGAUGAACAAUCACACUGAAAUUUUAUUCUAAUCAUAAUUGUAAAAACUGCCUCCCUACCCCAUUUCCAAGAAAAGGGACAUCAAAAUAUAUCCAUUACGUUCACUGAUUUUGAUCACAAAUUGCAUUGAUACAAAAGGGGGGCCAAGUGUCAGGUCUCAGUGUGGCAGCUGUAGUCAGCUUUUCCCUCCAGUGUCUCGUCCAUCCAGAAAAGCAGUGUCUCCCUUCCAAGAGAUAAUUGCAUAUUGGAUUCAACACAGAAGGAAAAUCCUGUUCUGAUAUGUGUGAAGUGUUGACAUUUCCAAGAGAAAGUCACAAUGUGUUCUUUCCCAGGACUACCCACAUGUUCUGAGUAUGUAAACAGCAGAACAACUGUUCACCUCUCCUUUGACUUCUAAAAGGUAAAGCAAGUGCUCCACACAAGAGAGUUGUGGGUUCGCUUUGUCAUCAAAAAUGGAUGUGUUGAUUACAGAGAUUACAGAAAAGCAAAGUCACAAGUCACACACUGCCUGCUGUUGAGAGGGGAAGCCAGCCAAAAAUCCAGAUAACUAAAGCUCUUAGAGGCAAGCCAGAAAACAAACACCUAUGAUCACACUGGAAAGAGCAGAUUGUACAGCACAGCAUUUGGUUCUUGAACUUGUCACUUUGCUUUGUGAAUAUCCUCAAGUUUGAAAUUUGUGUUGGAGCAGGACAUCAGGGAGGACCAAAUAUGGGCUAAGUUAAUGAUUAAUUAUUAAUCAAGUUCCGGUAUUCAGUACUUAGGAAAAGUUUUUAUAGUUAUCCCUUGGUAUCCUCUCCACACCAAAAUUUGUAGAUGCCCAAGCCUCUUAUAUAAAUGAGGUAGUAUUUGCAUAUUACCUACAUACACCUUCCUGUACAUUUUAUGGCAUCUCUAGAUAACAUCCAAUACAAUGUAAACAGUUGUUGUACUAUAUUGCUUAGGGAGUAAAACAAGUCAAAAAAAAAAAAAAAGCUACGUGUUCAGUACAGAUGCAAACAGUGUGGAUUUAACUACAUUUUCGUUCCUUGAUUGAUCCUGCAGAUGUGGAACCUGUGGAUAUGGAGGGGCAACUGUGUACCAAAAACCCCAAAAUAUUUUGUAAUAUUGUGGGAUUUGCAUGAGAAUAUAAUAAAGGUACUUAAUAAAGACUGUCAAAUCAGUGCACUUAUCAUUGCUAUGGGAUAAGGACAGGUUAUGCUAACAGAUUUUCCCAGCAUCUUCAAACCCCAUUUUAUAGUUAUUUUCAUGCUCUUUCCCUCAAAAAUUUUCUAUGGAUCCAAAAAGUACAAAAUGUGUUGAAUGAUCUAAGUCUCAUCUCCAUUGCUUCCUGUCAGCUCUUUGAGGGGCUAACAAGCAAUAAAAUGCUCUCUGAGCAGGCAUUUGCAAAGGAAGAAACACCAAGAACCAGGACAACCCAAAGGUGAAAAACCACCCACAGUGAACUGUCAAUUAUUUUUGCUGCUUUCUACAAGCUUCCUGCAGUUAUUAGAUUUCUCUGGCCACUUGUCAAAUGGCAUCAAAUGUAACAUUUUCAUUAGGCAUUUCUCAAAAAGUUUUCCUGAGCAACAACUCUUCUUUUUAUAAAUAAAAAACUAUGGAAUCCAUAUUUUCCCUGGAAGAUAAACAUGUGAUUCACUUACCACUGUGCUAUCUCUAAAAUACUUUUGUUUCAGAGUAUGGAUACCACCCUACUCAUUGUCACCAUGUUAUUCUUUAGGUAGCCACUUUCAGGUGAAGAAGUACAGAAUGGGUAGCAGCCAUGGCACGUGGAGGUUUUAAAAGACUCUCACUACCAUGUAAUUUCAAUUUCCAAAAAAAUAUGUAUCUCUUAAUGAUGGGUUCAGUAUUAGUGAAUGUGUAAACACAGCACUUACUGUUCCAGGACAAGGCAUGGUUUUACACUAUGAAAUUAAAUCAUUGAAACAAUAUUUUUCCUUUAGAAAGGAAUUGAGCAAGUAGAAAUGAUCACUGAAGAGGCUGUCAUGUGUCACAGAACUAAAGUAGAAACUAUGAAAAUAUUGCAGCAAAAGAAAGGGAAGUGAAGAACUAACAGUAAUUAAAAAAAAAUCUCUGUUGCUAGAUUUCUCAUUUUAUUUUAGUAAAAGACUUGCUUAAGUAUUAAGGCUGGGGUUAAUUAUAUUUUCUUUAAUACUUUUUUCAUUUUAAACACAAUUUACAGAAUACCAUAUAUCUUCCUGUUAUGAACUGCUGGCCCCUGAAUAUACAAAAAUAAAUUUUAUUUAAUGUCUUCUAUUAGAAUGUAAACUUUGUAAGGCAGGAACUCACAUCUGUCUUGCUCACUGAUCUUUCUCACACUUUGAAUAGUGCUUGUCAUAUGGCAGGCACUCAAUAAGUGUUUAAUGACAGAUAUGCAAGUCUUACUCAUUUUGAUUUAUUAUCUUUAAUCCACACUCUAUGCUACUGUCAAACUGACAUAGCUAGAAAGCAGAUCUGAUCCUUUCAUUGCCCUGAUUGAACGCUUCAAUGGCUUGUCAUCUUUCUUAGAUGAAAACCAAAAUUCCUUAGUAUACCACAUAAAGCUUUUCCUUAUCUGUCCCUUGUUUGACUCCCCAGUCUUCUCAUUUUUUAAUUAAUUAAUUAAUUAAUUAAUUCAACAAAUAUUUUUUAAGUGUCUACUGUGUUCCAAGAACUUUGUUAGAUAUUGAGAACUCAAUGGCAAAUAAAGGAAGUGGGCUCCUCAUUUACCAUUAUUCCAUUAUUGAAGAAACUCAAUGACUGCAUUUAAAAAUGAAUAUGAUCCCCCCCAAAACUAGGAAAUUAACCACCAUUUGACCAGGUUAUACUACUCCUCAGUAUAUAUCCAAAGGAAUAAAAAUCAGCAUAGUAAAGUGAUGCAGCCACAUCAAUAUUUAUAGCAGCUGAAUUCACAAUAGCUAAGCUAUGGAACCAACAUAGGUGCCCUUCAACAGAUGGAUAGAUAAAUAAAAUGUCAUAUAUAUGCAGAAGGGAAUAUCAGUCAGCCAUAAAGAAGAAUGAAAAUAUGGCAUUUUCCAGUAAAUGGAUGGAUCUGGAGACUAUCAUGCAAAGCAAAAUAAGCCAAUCCCCCCAAAACCAAAGGCCAAAUGUUCUGUCUGAUAGGUGGAUGCUAACACACAACAAUGGUGAGGGCAGAGUAGAAAUUCAUUGGAUUAGACAAAGGGGAAUGAAGGGAAGUAGGGAAUGGGAAAGACAGUGGGAUGAAUUGGAUAUAACUUUCUAUGUACAUAUAUGAAUAUACCACAAUGAAUUUCCACAUCAUGUACAACCAUAAGACUGAGAUCCUAAUUAGAAUAAAACAUAUACCAUGUUUAUAUAAAUAUGUCAGAUUAUACUCUAUUGUCAUAUAUAACUAAAAAGAACAAAAAGAAAAAAGAAAAAAAUGAAUCUGAUUCAUAAAUGAGAGCACAAUGAAAAUUUAGAAAAUAUUUGGAACUGAUUGAUAACAAACAAACCAGAACUUGUUGGAUACAGUAAAAGUAGUGCUUGAAAGAAAUGUAGAGCAGUAGAAUGCAUUUAGUGGAACAGGAGAAAGACAAGUUCAUUGGUUAUUGGGGAGAUGAGAUUUAAACCCACAAUGAGGUAUAUUUCACACUUACCAGAAUGUACAAAAUGACAAAAAGGUCAAUGUCCAUUGUUGGUAACAAUGGGGAGCAACUUGAAUUCUACCAUGUUGUUGCUGUAAUAUGUAAAACCACGUUAGCAAACUGGCAGUGUUUGCCCAAACUUGUGAUACAGUCAUUAACCAACUAUUGUGACCAAAUGUUCAGAACGAUUCCUUUCUUGCUCUCUGCUUUGGCUUGACCAGAUUUUAGUUAGGCUUCUCUCUAUCCUACUGGUCCCACAAUUUUGGCUUACCUUUCUAAGCAAAUGUCCUAAGGUGCAGAAUAUGAUCCCUUUUACAGCUCACCCUGAGAAACAGCUGACUGCAGGUGAAAACCCUUCUGAUUUUUCCACCUACUCACCUCCACCUUGUUCCCUGCUCCCUAUAAGGGACCUGCUAGUUCCUCUCCUUCCCUCUCCUUUUCUGUCUGAUUUUGAAUCGUGUACAGAUUGCUGAGAUUGGAUUAUUCUCCCCAUUACAAUAGUCUUUUCCACUAAGUCUAAGUGUGACUUUGUUUUUUAUUUGACAUCAUGAAAUAGAAUACCAUAUAGAAGUGAGAAUAAAUGAAUCACAACUAUAUGUAACAACAUGGACAAAUCUCACAAAUAAAGGCAACACUUAAUUGUAAAUAUGCAGCAUAAUUUCAUUUAUAUAAAGUUCACAACAGGAAAAAACUAUUUUGUUGGAAAUAAGGAUAGUGAUUCCAUGUAGAGAAAGUUGCUGGAAGGGGACCAUAGGAGGUUUGUGGGUGCUGAUAAUAUCCUGUUUCUUAAUCUGUAUUCCUGUUACAUGGGAUGUAUUCAAUUUGUGAAGAGUCAUCUAGAGAAAGAUGUAUAAUUUGGGAAAUUUUACAUGUGUCUUACUUCAAUAAAAAUUUACUUAAAGGUGGAAUCAUCUGGAAUCACAAUUUAUUUGUGAUUUUAUCAAAGAAACUUGUAUGAAACAAAAAAUGAAAGGAGUUAAUGGUUUCUAACUAGCAAAUGAAUUCCCAUCACAUGUAUAUGUGAUUUAAAUAGUAAUGGAAUCAGAGAAUAAGCCCACAGAUAAAAGGUUGAUUAUCAAGAUACUCAUGUGUUUAUUACCAUUCAGGGAUCGAAAUUCAAUUUUCUACAAAACACAUUCUAUCUAAUGUAUAAAAAUGUGAACAUAAUGAUAUCUGCAAUAAUCACAGUUUUUUAGUGUUCUAUAAGAGAAAAAUAUGCAGUUAGUAGGAGAAUAUCUUAGGGAAACUUCUUGUCAUUAUCAGAAAAAGAAGAAAAAGAAAAAAAAAACAACUUCAUGAUGACAGAGUAUGACAGUAUAGAACAUGUUUUAGUCAGCUUUGUUGCUGCUGUGACUAAAAGACCAAACCAGAACAAUUGUAGAGGAGGAAAAGUUUAUUUGGGGGGCUCACAGUUUCAGAGGUCUAGGUUUAUAGACAGCUGGCUCCAUUCCUCAGGGGUUGGGGUGAGGCAGAACAUCAUGGCAGAAGAGUGUGGCAGAGGGAAGGGUCUCACAUGAUGAUCAGAAAGGAGAGAGAGAGAGAGAGAGAGAGAGAGAGAGAGAGAGAGACUGCCUCCACUUGCCAGGAACAAAAUAUAUACCCCCAAAGCACACCUCAAUGCCCCAUUCUCCUCCAUCCACAUCCUACCAACCUUCAGGUACCUCUCAGUUAAUCCCAUCAGGGGUCUAAACCACUGAUGGGGUUAAGGCUCUCAUAACCCAGUCAUUUCUCCUCUAAACCUGACAUUGUCUCACACAUGAGCUUUUGGGGACACAUCACAUCCAAACCGUACAGAAUGUGUAUAUGUUUAACUUAAAUGCAAACUUCAUUCUACCUGGUUGGUUCUUUGUUUUUUGUGCAUUAUAAUAUCCUUUGACUCUUAUUUUCUUAUCUCACAUAGUAAGAAAGAAAAAUAACUAAUAUAGUUAUUAUUUCAAGAAUGUGUCCACAUGAUAGUUUUAUUCCUUACCUUUGAAUUAUAUUGUGUUUUCACUUUUAGUUUCAGAUUUUAGCUGCAAUUUAAGCAAGGCUUUAUAAUUUCCCAUCCCCACAUGUUCUAGUAGAAUGAUCAGUGAUAAAUAACAAGUAAUUAUAAAAUAAGUGUAAUUACAAACCAUAAUAUAUGCUAUGAGGGAAAAGUAGAAGGUGCUAUAAGAACAUAGAGCUUAGGAUUGAAUUUGUAUAUUUAAGAACAAUUAUUUUAGUUUUAGUGUGGAGAGUAAGGCAGGGAAAGUGUGUGUGGGAAGACAAAAUGGGAAGCUUCUGUGUGGCACAGGUAAGAGGUAAGAGCUUAGGAAAAGGUGUGGCAUUGGAGAUGGACACAGUGGAGGAACUGAAGUAUUUAGGAAUUAAAAGCUUUGGAGAUGGAAACAACUUCAAUGUCCAUUAACUGAUGCAUAAGGAAAAUGUGGUACAUAUAUACAAUGGGAUAUUAUUUUAGCCAUAAAAGGAUGAAAGUCCUGGUUUUUUAUGUUGUUGUUGUUGCCAUUUGCAACAACAUGGAUAGAAUGGGAGAUCAUUAUGUUAAAUGAAACAAGCCAGGUGCACAAAGACAAGUACCACAUGAUCUCACUCAUAUAAAGAAUCUUAAAACAUGUUGAUUUCAUAGAAGCAGAGAAUAGAAUAGUGGUUACCAGACUCUGAGAGGAUGGGAUAGAGGGGAAUGAGAGAAUGCAGGGGGCAGUUAGAUAGGAGGAAUAACUUCUAAUGUUCUAUAACACUGUAGGGUACCUCUUCUUGACAACAUUUACUUGUAUAUGUCAAUAUAGCUAGUGAGAGCAUUUAAAAUGUUUCAACACAAAGAAAUAAUGUUGAAGAUGAUAGACCAAUUACCUUGAUCUGAUCAUUACACAUUAUGUAUUAUAAAUAAACAUGUAUGGAAAUAACACACUGUACCCCAUUAAUGUGUACAAUUAUUAUAGGCCAAUCAUUGUCCUGCUCCUCAAAUAAGUUCUACUCAGCUUCCUGAAUUCUCAGAAUCCUACUCCAGAAUCAGAGAAUACUUUGAGGGAAGAGGCUCUAACAUGAGCUUAUGUCUGUGAGUUUCUAUUUCUAGAUUUUGGCUCUGAAAUUAUUCACCAUCUUGUUGGCUUUCCAAAGCUUUCAACCAGAUUUUUUUUUAAACCAGGGAUUGAAUUUAGGGGCAUGUGACCACUGAGUCUCAUCCACAGCCCUAUUUUGUAUUUUAUUUAGAGACAGGGUCUCACUGAGUUGCUUAGCACUUUGCUUUGGCUGAGGCUGGCUUUGAACUUGAAAUCCUCCUGCCUGAGCCUCCUGAGGCACUGGGAUUAUAGGCACGCACCACUGCACCUGGCUUCAAGCAGAAUAUCUUAAAACACUGUUUUCUUGUUGUUCAUUGCAAAGGUUGUUCUAAAUUUCUCAGUUUGUCUUUACCAAAAGUGCAACUUUAUCUCAUUUAAUUUUCAAAAAUGCUGGAGCAAUUUUCUUAUUCCCUUUUACUAGUCAGGAAAGUGGUGUCAGACAAACCAAGUAAAUUGCUCAGUUACAUUUAAAAAGUGGUAAACUUAUUUUUCCGGAUGAAUUUCCUGACUGCUUUUACUAUUUCUAUGAAGAAUGUCAUUGGAAUUUUGAUUGGAAUUGCAUUAAAUCUGUAUAGUGCUUUUGGUAGUAUGGUUAUAUUGACAAUAUUAAUUCUGCCUAUCCAAGAACAAGGGAGAUCUUUCCAUCUUCUAAGGUCUUCUUUAAUUUCUUUCUUUAGUGUCCUGUAGUUUUUGUUGUAGAGAUCUUUCACCUCUUUUGCUUAGUUGAUUCCCAAUUAUUUUAUUUUAUUUUAGUUUUUGAGACUAUUGUGAAUGAGGAGGAUUUGUCACUGAUACACAGAAAUGCCCUUGAUUUAUGGGUGUUGAUUUUGUGUCCUGCUACUUUGAUGAAUUCAUUUACUAGUUCUAGAAGUUUUCUGGUGGAAUUUUUUGGGUCUUCUAGGUAUAGAAUCAUAUCAUCAGCAAAUGUAGUGCUAAUUUGAGUUCUUCUUUUCCUAUCUGUAUCCCUUUAAUUUCUUUUGUCUAAUUGCUCUGGCCAGUGUUUCAAGAACUAUGUUAAAUAGAAGUGGUGAAAAAUGGCAUCCCUGUUUUGUUUCAGUUUGUAGGGAAUCUUUCAAUUUUUCUCCAUUUAGAAUGAUGUUGGCCUGGGGCUUAGCAUAGAUAGCUUUUACAAUGUUGAGAUAUGUUCCUGUUAUCCCUAGUUUUUUUAGUGUUUUAAACAUGAAGGGGUGCUGUAUUUUGUGGGAUGCUUUUUCUGGGUCUAUUGAGAUGAUCAUAUCCUUAGCAAGAAGAGUGAAGCAGGUGGCAUCACUAUACAAGACCUUAAAUUAUACUACAGAGCAAUAGUAACAAAAACAGCAUAGUAUUGGCACCAAAAUACAUUGGUAGAUGAAUAGUACAGAAUAGAGGACACAGAGACUAACCUACAUAAUUACAGUUAUCUUAUAUUAGAAAAAGUCACCAAAAACAUAUAUUGGAGAAAAGAUAUCCUCUUCAACAAAUGGUUCUGGGAAAACUGGAAAUCCAUAUGCAGCAAAAUGAAAUUAAGCCCCUAUCUCUCACCAUGCACAAAACUCAACUCAGAGUGGAUCAGGACCUAGGAAUUAAACCAGAGAACCUGUGUCUAAUAGAAGAAAAACUAGGCCCAAAUCUCCAUCAUAUUGGAUUAGGCUUCUACUUUCUUAAUAAGACUCCUAUAGCAUAAGAAUUAAAAUCAAGAAUCAAUAAAUGGGAUGGAUUCAAACUAAAAUGUUUCUUCUGAGCAAAGAAACAAUCUGUGAGGUAAAUAGAGAGCCUGCAUCCCUCACACAUCAGAGACAGCACUAGUCUCUAGGGUAUAUAAAGAACGCAAAAAACUUAACACCAAAAAAACAAAUAACCAAAUCAAUAAAUGGGCCAAGGACCUAAACAGACACUUCUCAGAAGGUGAUAUACAAUCAAUCAACAAAUAUCUGAAAAAAUGUUCAACAUCUCUAGUAAUUAGAGAAAUGCAAAUCAAAACCACUCUAAGAUUUCAUCUCACUCCAGUCAGAAUGGCAGCUAUUAAGAAUACAAACAACAAUAAGUGUUGGUGAGGAAGUGGGGAAAAAGGCACACUUAUACAUUGCUGGUGGGACUGCAAAUUGGUGCAGUGAAAGCAGUAUGGAGAAUCCUUGGAAAACUGGGAAUGGAACCACCAUUUGAUCCAGCUAUCCCUUUUCUUGGUCUAUACCCAAAGGACUUAAAAACAGCAUAUUACAAGGACACAGCCACAUCAAUGUUUAUUGCAGCACAAUGCACAAUUACUAAACUGUGGAACUAAACUGUGGAACUAAACUAGAUGCCCUUCAGUAGAUGAACGGACAAAAAAUGUGGUAUAUAUACACAAUGGAAUAUUACUCAGAAAUAAAAGAGAAUAUGCAUGGAGUUGGAGAAGAUAAUGCUAAGUGAAGUUAGCCAGUCCAAAAAAAAAAAAAAACCCAAAACAAAUAAAAAACAAAAACCCCAAAACAAACAAACAAAUGCCGAAUGUUUUCUCUGAUAUAAGGAGGGUGAUUCAUAGUGGGGUUGAGAGGGGGGAGCAUGGGAGGAUUAGAAGAACACUAGAUAGGGCAAAGGAGAGGGAGGGGAUAGGAGGGGGGAAGGGAGUAAAAAAGAGGUGGAAUGAGAUGGACAUUAUUAUCCUAAGUACAUGUAUGAAGACACAAAUGGUGUGAAUAUCUUUGUAUACAACCAGAGAUAUCAAAAAUUGUGCUCUAUAUGUAUAAAAUGAAUUGUAAUGCAUUCUGCUGUCAUAUAUAACAAAAGAAAAAAAAGUGAUAAAUUUGAAUUUAAACUUACAUCUUUCUGUCUGUACAACUUGUGCUUUUACAUUAGCUAAAAGUAAUUUUGGCUAAUACCUCCCAAAUGAAACAUACUAUUAGAAGAUUUAUUAGUAAUAAUACUUCUCACCAAUUAUAAAUAUGUGUUUGCAAAAUUGAAAGUCUGUUUUAUAGAGGUCUUUAAUUUCACUAUCACAUAGUGAAUUUGAGUUUUCUCAAAUUUUCUAAGUAUCUUUAGAGUUAUAAAUUGUUACUCAUACUGAUUAGCAGUCAGUACUUCAUAACAUAAGGGUAUUUUAUUCUAAAGUUUAAGUAUAUAAAAUAAAAAAUAAUGGCUCUUUAUUAUAAAGUAUGAAUAUAUAAAAUAUUAAAGUAUGCAAAAAUUGAGUCUCAUUUUAUGUUAAGUGAAAUAAGCCAGGCACAGAAAGACAAAUACCUCAUGACGUGGAAUAUAAAAAUGCUAACCUCAUCCAAGGGGAAAAUGGUGAUUUCCAGGGGCUGAGGUGAUUGAAGUGGGUGUAUGGAUGAUAUUGUUUAAAUAUAAAAUUUCAAUGAGAUAGGAGGGAUAAAUUAAAGAGAUCUAUUUUAGAACUGGUGUGUAUAAUUAAUAAUAUGUUGUAUUCUUGAAAAAUGUUGAGUGCAUAUAGUGUUCUUACCACUAAAAUAACAAUGUGAGGCAAUGCAUAUGUUAAUUAUAUAGAUCUUGUCCACAGUGUAUCUAUACUAAAGACAUCAUGUUGUACAUGGUAAAUACAUAUAGAUUUAUCUAACUAAAAAAAUCAAAUCUCAAUUUUAAAAUUUCUUUACUGUUUUUUUUUCCCACUUCUUAUUUUGGAUUCAUUUUAAGGAAAUUUGGUCUUGUUUCAAAUCUCAUCUAUUACCAAUUAAAAUUCCACUAAAAAACAAUGAAUUCCUUUGCACAAAGUCACCUAUUGACUUCCAUCACAUGCUAUUUGUCUUUCAGGAAUACACACACACACACACACACAUGCAUAUGUGUAUAAAAGCUUAAUAAUAUAGAUAAUAAAUGAUACAUUAUUAUCUAUAUUAUAAAGCUUUAAAAUAUUACUUAGAACCAAACAGAAUUCUUCUUUCCUUACUCAAAGCAUAGAUCUAUAUUUAGAAAAAUAACUUAUCUGCUUAUUUUCACUGAUAAGAAACUUGAAUACUUUCUCUAGCAGAAAUAUUUCCUUCCAUCUUCCUAUGCAAUGAUGAUAUUAAAUUAAAGUUAAAGUAAAUAUUUUAUAGUAGAAUAGCAAAGGCUAAAAAAUGCACAUUUCUUCAACAAAAUGAGUUAUGGCCCUAUGGCCUGAGGGUCAGGGUUUUUAAGGUUACUGAAGGGUUUUUACAUCAAAGGUGCCCUAGAAGACAUCUGGCUGGUAGAUAGACUUGACCUCCCCACCCAAGUGUUAUUGCGGGAAAAGGAAAUAUGAGGGGCCCUCUUAUGCUAAUUGCUAUAAGCAUUAAAGGAACAGAAUAAAGAAAAUCUGAUUUAGGGUUUCUUCCUGUUGAAAUCUUCUAUUAUACUAGAUAGCACAUUUUACUAGAUCUGGAACAGGGUCCUAGAGAUGACAGAGUGCAUUUAGAAGCCCCUUUGUUAUAUCUAUUAGAACCAAGCUCUGUUCUUGGUGGUUGGAGAGGAAAGACAUGCUCUUUGAAGCCAUGGAAAAUCCUUCCCUAUGAGGAGGAGGGUAGAGCAGUGCCCAGGGGUCCCUGAGCUCAAUAUAAUGUGCUCUGGAUCUGUUGAUGGAGAUCAUAGGCCACUUAGUACAAGUGCUAGAAAGUUAAUAUUACAUGCUACAUACUAAUGUUUAUAGCAGUGCAAUUCACAAUAGUCAAGUUAUGGAACCAUCUUAGGUGCUCAUUAACAGGUAAAUGAAUUAAAGGUAUGUGGCAGAUAUAUACAAUAAGGUUUUACUCAGCCAUAAAGAAGAAUGAAAUUACACCAUUUGUCAGUAAAUGGAACUGGAAAACAUCAUGCUAAGUGAAACGAGCCAGACUCAAAAAGUGAAGUGUCAAAUGUUUUCUGUCAUAUGCAGAAACUAGAGAGGGAGAGACAAGAAGGAGUAAAAAUAGAUUUCUUGAAAAUGGAAGGUAAACCCCCCUGGGGAAUAACCACCUACCAGCCACCAACUCAGUGAGCUUCACAAACGGCAGCACAGAGGGAAUAAAAUUCCAAGGGAAAGAAGAUAAAGAGGGAGAGAGGAUGGGGAAAGCAUGGGAAAGUAGUAGGGAAUGAAAUUUACCAAAUUAUGAUAUGCCCAUGUCUGAAUGUGCCACAAUGAAUUUCACUUACUUAUGCAAUUAUAAUGCACAAUUCCAAAUAAUAAUGAUAAUUAUUUUAUGAUAAUUUCCCAUCUCUGUUCACAAAAGACCUGACAAGAACAAUAUAGAGUGGACCUGGAGACUAUCAUGCUAAGUGAAAUAAGCCAGUCCUCCCAAACCAAAGGCUGAAUGUUUUCCCUGAUAUGCGGGAGCUAACCCACAAUAAGCAGUAGAUUAGACAAAUAGGAAUGAAGGGAAGGGAGAGGGGAUAGAAAAGGAAAAGACAGUAAAUGAAUUCAAAAUAACAUGAAUACACCAUAGUGAAUGCCACCAUCAUGUAUAUCCAUAAAAUGGGGUCCUAAAUAGAAUAAGAUAUAUUCCAUGCUUGUACAAUUAUAUAAAAAUGAAUUCUACUGUCAUGUAUAACUAAAAAGAACCAAUAAAAAUAAACAAAAUAUACAGUAAAAUAAAAGGUGUCAUCACAAAAAUAAUAGAGGAGAAAAUGUUUAUUUUGGGAUAAUGCUAUAAAUCUGAAGGGUUUAGAGGGGGUAGGAGGAGAAAAAUGCAAGGCUGGGAAAUAGAGGAGGACCAUGCUCUUUUUCCCACAGUAGCAUUCUCAGCAGGAGGUAGCAUUGAACCAGAGAAGAGAAAUUUUAGCUUCAAAUAAAGUAUGAAAUUUUGAUGAUGUUAAUGAACUGAACAUUUAAUUUCUAGAUUGAUACUGGUCAGAGAACUUUUAAAAAAAAUUAAAGACAGAGUCUCACUGAGUUGCUUAGCACCUUGCCGUAGCUGAGGCUGGCUUCAAACUCACAAUCCUCCCGUCUCAGCCUCCUGAGCUGGUGGGAUUGGAGGACUUUUAGUGUUCAAAAUGGGUCAUACAAUUAUGGGUCCUUCCUGAUAGUUCUUUCCUGCCCUGGGAUCUACCACCUACGAGCCACUAACCCAUUGAGCUAGCUUCACAAAGGGCAGCACCAAGGAGAUGAAGUUGCUUUUUCACUGCACCCAUUUGUGUCUUGCUCCAUCAAGUACUGGUUACAACUUAUUCAAAUAUCUUAGCCUUCUAUCAGCAUGGGAGAGUAAAUUUAGCAAUACAGUCUUAAUAAGUUUGUUUUUCAAUAGUAAAAAUACCAUGGACUUGGUGGCUUAUGAACAGUAGAAAUGCACUUCUCCCAAUUUUAGAGGUUGGGAAGUCUGGGACUCUGACCUUGCUGCACUUAUCCUGGCUUCCUAGGCCUUCCUUUGAAAUCUUGGUGGAAGCCUCCAUGAAUCCCUAACUCAGUCCUGCAUUCCUGAAGAACCAGCAUCAAAUGGUUGAUGCCAAGUCUGCUGCCAUCUUGAGCAUCAGACAAGCAUCCAGGGAACCUGGCUGCAGCAGCCUCUGAGUGCCUAGGUAACUGAGCAUGUUGAAAAAACUUCCUAGACCCCUUGUGCAAGAAGGAUCCCCCACGUACUCUUCUCAAGAGAAUUUUCACUUUUACUCCCUUGAGCCUGAGAUGGAUGUGGUCUUGCCAGCUCCUGAGAUGCCCUCAAGUCAUCUUUCUUACUAUCUCUAGGCAAAGUCUUUAGUAUUUCUUUAGUGGUAAUGUCUUUAACAACUGCAACUUCCUUAGCUCCAGUUUACUAAGGCCUUUCAAGUCCAUGUUCUCCAAAUCCUUCUGCUCUGCUUUCUGCUGAUUAUCAUAAUAAAUUUGGCUAAAAGUUGCUGGCAAUUUCCAUGCCACUGCCUGAAUACUAUGCUGCCUAGAAAUUUCUUCCAUCAGAUUAAGAAGUCUAUCACUUUUAAAAUCAUCCUCACAGAAAGUAUCAGAACAUGGGAAAAAUGCAGACAAUUUCUCAGCCAGAAUAUAAUAGGAAUGGACUCUAGUCCAAAUUCUAAUAAAGCCCUCUUCCAUCAGAACCCUCUUGAGCUCAUGGUCCAGUCCUAUUGGCAUUCUGGUCUUCUGAGCUCCCACCAGAAUCAGCCAUUGAGCAACAAAGUAAAGCACUUCUAGCUUGCGUAGCUAAGCAUCUCAAAAUUCCUCCCACCAAUUCCAAAAAGCUCAAAAAGCUUCUGAACCACAUGAUCAGGUUAGUCAAAAGAAUGACCCCACUUUUGAUACUAAUUUCUGUUUAGUCAGCUUUUUCACUGCUGUGACUAAUGGAACUGACUAGCACAAUUAUAGAAGAGGAAUAGUUUACUUAGGUUCACAGUUUCAGGGGUCUCAGCUCAUAGGUGGGUAGCUCCUUUCCUUGGGGCUCAAGGUGAGGCGGAACAUCAUGGCAGAAGAGUUGUGGUAGAGGGAAGCAGCUCACAUUGUGAUCAGGAAGCAGAAAGAGAGACUCCACUGGCUAGAUACAAAUAUAUACUUCAUAACCCUUCCCCAUAUGAGCUUCCUCCAGCCACACACCACUUGCCUCCAGUUAUCAAUCAUUUAGUCCUAUGAGGGAUUAAUUCACUGAUCAUGUUAAGGCUAUAACCCAAUUAUUUCUCCUCUAAACCUUCUUGAAUUGCUCACAUGUGAGCUUUUGGGGGACACCUCACAUCUAAGCCAUAAGAACUAGCAACUACGAGAAGCUGCAAGAGGCAAUAGAUGAAUUUCCCUAGAGACUCUGAAGGGAGAACUUGCUCACUGACACCUUGAUUUCAGCACAGUGAAACCAAUCUCAGACUCCUGGUAUCCAGAUCUGAAGGGGUCAUUUUAUCUUGUUCUGAGUCACCAAGUUGUGGUAACAUGUAACAACCAUUUUAAGAAAUUAAUACACUGUGAAAACACUGCUGCCUCCUCUGCUUGCAUAAGAAGCCAUGAAAUCAGAAUUGUUUUUUACUUCUUUGUCUAUCCCUUACUUCCUACAAUGCACAGUUAGCUCUCUAACUCAGACCAGAUAUUAUGCAAUUUACAUUUUAUCUACUUUUUUUUAUAAAGGAAUCUAAUGGCAGAAACUACCAAUACCACAAGCAGCAGUAGGAACAAUUACUAACAUUUUAUUGAAAUCUCACUAAGUAUUUGCAUUACCUCAUUGAAUCAUCACUACUAUCCUUUGAUUUGAGUAACAGUUAUUACCUCUGUUUUAGAGAGAAAGGCUAAAGCAAGUUUCCCAAAGGAGAAACAAACUAUCAGUACCUACUUGCAAGUAUCAAGGUAGUACAAGUUUUUAAAUUAUAAGUAUCAGAAGAAUUCUACUUCUUUCUGUCUAUACCCCUACUCACAAAUGCUGAAAUGGCUACAAAUUUGAGAAUGGGUGUUUGAGUCAGCGUUUUCACUGCUGUGACUAAAAGAUCUGACCAAAACAUUUGUAGAGGAAGAAGAGUUUAUUUGAGGGCUCACAGUUUCAGAGGUCUCAGUUCAUAGACAGCUGGCUCCAUUCUUCACCGAUUGACUUGAGAUAAAGCAGAACAUCAUUGCAGAAGAGUAUGAAAGAGGGAAGAAGCUCACAUGAUGAUCAGGAAGGAGAGAGAGAGAGAGAGAGAGAGAGAGAGAGAGAGAGAGAGAGUCUUUUCAAAUUGGCUUCUUUUAGCAUAUGCAUCUGGGGUGACUCCAUGUGGGUUUAUUAUUCAUUUUGUAAACUGCAGAGUAAUAUUCCAUUGUAAGGGAACACAAUGGUUUGUUUGUCUUUUCAUACACUGAAAGAUAUCUUUAUUGCUUCCAACUUUUGGUAAUUAUGAAUAAUGUUCCUAUGAACAUGAACAUGAAGAUUUUCAUGUGGAUAUAGUUUUUAACUCAUUUGAAUAACUACUAGCAUGUGAGAUUGCUGGAUCAUAAGGUAAGAGUAUGUUUAGUUUUAUAAGAUACUGCCUGUACUGUUUUGUAUUUCAACAAGGAAUGAAUAAGAGUUUCUGUCGCUCCACAUCUUUGCCAGCAUUUGGUGUUGUCAAGGUUUAUAGUUUGAAAAUGAGGUGACACCCCCUCAUUCCCCCCAAAAAAAAACAUCCACAAAAAAAAACAAAAACACAAGAAACAAACUCCUGCGAAUGCAGGACUAUUUGGGAUGAGAUGAUUGGAUUGUGAGAGCUGUAACCUAAUCAGCCUAUCCUACUUUAAAUGGAGGCAGGUGGAACAUGGCUGUAGGUUUUCAUAGGAGUGUGCUCUGGAAGGGUGAAUAUUCCCUUUGGCCCCUUCCCUGUCCCUCUAUCUCUACUUUUUGUGCCCACCAUAAGCGGAGCAGCUUUCCUCCACUUGGCUCUUGUCCCUUGAUGCGCUGCCUCAUCUUGGGCUCUGAGCAAUGGAAUAUGUAUUCUGUCUUUGGACUGAAACUUCUGAAACUAUAAGCUCCAAAUAAACUUAAUCUCUUUUAAGUUGUUUUCAGGUAUUUUGGUCACAGCAAUGAAAAGCAGACUAAAACAUCAAAUUUGGGAUUUCAGUUAUUUUAAUCAACAUACAGUGGUAACUCAUUGUUUUAAUAUACAGUUCUCUAAUUACAUAGGAUGUUUGGCAUGUUUUUAUAUACUUAGUUGACAUUGGUACAUCUUUUUUGGUGGGGUUUCUACUCUCUCCAUUUUGAAAUUUGGGUUGGUUGUUUUCUUAUUGUUGAAUAUUAGUGGUGCUUUGUAUAUUUUGGUUACCAAUCCUUGGACAGAUUUGUAUUUUGCAAAGAUUUUCUUCCAACCUGUGAUUUAUCUUUUCAUUCUAUUAACAAGAUCCUUCACAGAGCAGAAACUUUCAAUUUUAAUGUGUUAAACAUCAGUUUUUUUAUAACAUGGAUGGUGUUUUUAGUGUUAUAUUUAAGAAGCUAUUUCCAAAUCUGAGGUACCUAGAUUUUCUCCUACAGUUCCUUCUAAAAGUUUUAUAGUUUUCCACUUUACACUUGAGGUGUUAUCCAUUUUAUGUGAAAGGUGUAAUGUCUGUGUCCUUAUUAGUAGUAUUAUUUUAACAUGCAUAUGUCCAGUUGCUCCUGCACCAUUUAUUAAGAAAUUUUUUUAGCAUUUAAUUGUCUUUUUUUCUUUGUUAAAGAUCAGUUGACUACAUCUGUGUGGGUCUAUUUCUGGGUUUUCUAUUCUGCUCCCUGUUGAUUUAUUUGUCUAUUCUUUUUCUAAUACCACAGUGUCUUCAUUAUUGUAGCUUUACAGUAAGUCAGUCCUUUAACUUUGUUCUUUAAUACUGGGUUCAUGAUUUUGGGUCUUUUUCCUUUCCAUAUACCCUUUAAAAUCAGUUUGUUGUUAUUUACAAAAUAAACUGCUAGGAUUUUGAUUAGAAUUGUAUUGUAUAUAUUAAUUUGAAAGAACUAACAUCUUAAUAUUGAGUCUUCCUGUUCAUGAAUAUGGAAUAUCUCCUCAUUUAUUUAUAUAUUCUUUGAUUUCUUUCAUUUAUAUUGUAUUUUUCCUUAUCAGAUCUUGUAUAUAUUUUAUUAGAUUAGCAUUUGCACUUUUUUUCUUCAUGGUAAUAUAAAUGGUACUGUGUUUUAAGUUACAAAUUCCAAUUAGUAGUUGCUGGUGUAGGAAAGCAAUUAACUUUUGUAUAUUAACCUUGUAUCUUACAACCUUACUCUAAAAUUUUCUACAUAGACAUUUGUGUAAUCUGUGAACAAAGAUAAUUUUAUUUCUUCCUUUCCCUUGUUAUUUCCUUUCUUGAUUUAUUGCAUCAGAUAGGACUCCCAAUAUGAUGUUGAACAGGAAUGGUGAAAGUGGACAUCCUUACAUUUGUGUGUGUGUGUGUGUGUGUAGAUGUUCUUUAUCAUAUAGAAAGAAAACCAAAUUGUUAAUGGAAGGAUUUUAGACAACAGUGAAGAAUGCUUUUCAGGUGUGAGGUUUUUCUUAAAUCAGAUUUCACAGGGAUUCUGUUAUAUAUGAGAAUGACCAGUCACAGUAAAAGAAACAUCUGUCUUAUUCCAGAUAAAAAACAAAAGACUCCCAAUCCUGAACAAAUAUUAUUUUCUUUAGUAAAGGCAAAUCUAGAUGUUCACCCAUUGCGUUUUCUUUCAUUAAAUCAACCCAAAAGCUUCUGCUGCAUUCCUACUAAGACUUUUCUGCCUCAGAAAUGCAAGGAUAAGCAGAAUGAAAUCCCAGUACUUUACAUGGAAUGGGAGCAUUAUGGGGGUGGGGCAGGGUUUGUUGAAUAGGAAUGUCUGCAUAGAUUUAAAGUGUAAUAUCAAGUUUUAAGACUUUGGAACAAUCCUUGCAAAGUGCUUUUACCAUUUUUUCUUCUUAAAGCAGUCUAUGGAGCCAUUUAUAUUUUUAUUUCCAUCAUAUUUGGACUGCCACCAUAAAUUUAGUGAGCAGAUUCCCUUGAAUCCAGUCUCUUUAGCAGGGUUUUAAGGAAAUGCUAAGCAGAUUUUGUUAUGAAGGCUCUCCUGGAAUAAAUCAUCAUUAUUAGAGAAGGAAAAGACAACCACAUCCAAGGAAAAGGGGUAAAAUAGAAUUGUCGAGGCAAGGGAAAAGUAAGCUAAUAGAGCUCAACUUUUUAAAUUGAAGAAAAUAAACCCCAAGUGAAGAAAGCUGUAAUAUGCUUGUAAUCAUUUGUUCUGUAAACCAUUUUAAAAAUUAAUUAACUAGAGUCUUAGAGGUCAGUUGCUGACUAAAGAGAUCACUACUUGUAAAAAGCAAUGUUUUUAAAAACUGAAAGUCUCUCACAUUUGGAAUCUGUCAGGGGGAAAAAUCCCAGUGAGGAAAAAAAUGCAAAAAGAAAAUAUUGGAAUAGAGUCUUUCCAUAAAUCGAAUAUGUUUGCAUUUGUUGAAGUUCAUAAGAUUGUGCAGAGUGUCAGAUAAUUUAGAACUGUUUAUUCUAAGAGAGGAGGUUGUAAGACAUCCUCAAAAUAAUUCCAUAUGUUAACAUGUGAGUCUUUGGAAAAUUUGGUUUGUUCUAUUACCUCAAAAGCAACCCCACUGGGCAUUAGACUCUCAGGGAAUAAAAAAAGAAAUACCACUGGAAUAGCUGAACUGUUUAUUUUUAAACAUGUAGAACUAAAGAUCAAUUAAAAAAAUAAACUAGGCAUUUGAAUACAUUUUGUUUCACCAAGGAUUGAAGUAUGCAGCUUGGGAAGGGGAACAUGUGUAAAAAAUUGAUCUAUACUCCCCAGAAGAAAAAUCCCCCAACCAUAUUGUAAAGUAAAGAUAACUAUAAAUAGACAUUAGAGGCAAUAAAACUAUAUAUUGUCCUGACUGCAUCAAAUAUAAUCUAAAUAUUUGAUUUGCCUCAACUUAAUUUCUAUAUAUAUGAAAGGAGUAUGGCAAGACUGUCCUCCCACUUGCCAAUACCACCACAUGUAUUCUCCAUCAUCUUCCUUCCUAUUCUUCCUCAUGGAGCAAUAGGAAGGAAGAUGGGAUACAAGGUGAUAUUAUGCUUGUUUCCUGAUGAGCCAUAUGUAACCCACACACAGACUGAGGAGAAUGGCAGAGAUAUUAAAGGGAAAAAAGGAUAUUAAAGAGGAUUUUUCUUAAAAAUUCCCUAAUUAUUGCCAAAUAUGCAAGUAUACAUAAGAGGACAACUUUGAUAAUAGGCAUUAAAAAUAAAUUAUCAUUGAAUGGUUGUUGGUAGGUGCGUGGAGACUAAAUAAUCUAUAAUUAUAAGAGAUGCCACAUUGUAUUAUUUGAAAUGUCCAAUUUAUAACAAAAAUAGGACGUGUAAAGAAACAUGUAAAUAUGGCCCACACAAAGGGGAAAUAAAAAGGAAUCAAUUGAAACUGUCUCCAAGAAUGCUCAAAUGUCAGACUUACUAGUCAAAUUCUUUAAAUCAGUUAUUAUAAUUAUGUCCAAGGAACUAAAAGAAACCAUGCUUACAUAAUUAAAUAAAAGUAUGAUGAAAAUAUCUCAACUGAAUACAAUCUAUCAAUAAAGAGAUAGUAAUAAUAAACAAAUUGGAAUUCUGGAGCUGAAAAUUACAAUAUUAAUACAAAAUAUUCACUAGAGAAGUUGUUUCAGCAGCAGUUUUGAACUGGUAGGAAAAUAUUUAGCCAACUGGAAGGCAGGACAAUUGAUAUCCAGUAAAGAAGAAAAGCAAAAAGAUAAAGCAUGAAGAAAAAUAAGAGGAGCACCAGAUACUUGUGAGACCCCAUUUGCAUAUCAACAUGAAAUUCUAGAAAGAGAAAAGAGGGAGAAAAGGUAAUGAAGAAAAAAAUGACACAAACAGAGAAGUGAAAAAUUCUGCUCUACUUGUGUACAAUGAAUUGUAGAGCUUUCUAUUGUCAUGUAUAAACUGAUUAGAACUCAUAAUAAAGAAAAUAUGAUGGCCAUAAACUUCCUGAAUGAGAUUAAAGAACACCCAUUAGUAUUCCCAUACCAGAGUCUCAAUGAUCUUUAAGUAGGAUAAACUUUAAGUAUGGAUAAAGCCAUACCUAGAUACAUUAGUAAAGCUGUGAAAAGACAAGGACAAAGAAAAAUUUUGGAAGCAGCAAAAGAAAAUCCACUCACCAUAUUCAAUGAGUCCUCAAUAAGAUUAACAGCUGACAUACUAUCAGAAACUACAGAGUUCAGAGGGAAGUGGGAUGAUAUAUUGAAAAUAAUGAAAGAAAAAAGGUAUUGGUGAAGAAAUCAAUAUACAGAAAAAUGGUCAACAAUUAAGGGGAUAUUAAGAAGCUUCAGAUAAACAAAAAAGUGAUAGAAUUCACCAUGAGAAGACUUUCUGUACUAAAAAAAAAACUAAUGAGAAUCCUUUCAUCCUAAAUGGAAGGAUACUAGGGAGUCAGUAAAAAAAAAAUGAAAAAUUAAAGAUGCAAGUAAUAAAAGGUAAAUAUAAAUCACAACAAAAAUCUACUUUGGUUUAUAACUCUUUUCUUACUUGAUUUAAAAAUACAACUACAAUAUAAAUAAAAGCAAUAUAAAUGUUCUGGAACUUAACAGUGGAGUUACAUCCUGAUAUACUCAUUGUAAUUUAAAAAUAUCGUAAGUUGAAAUGCAUUUAAUAUACUUAACCUACCAAACAUCAUAGCUUGGGAACAUAGUGCCCUGUGCAGUAUUUCUUGUUUACCCUUAUGAUGUGACUCACUGCUGCUGCCCAACAUUGCAAGAGAAUAUCACACCACAUAUUACUAGCUCACAAAGAGAUCAAAUUUAAAAUCUGAUAUAUAGAGCUGGGGUUUCAGCUCAGUGAUAGAGUGCUUGCCUAGCACAGGUGAGGCACUGGGUUUGAUAUUUAGCACCACAUAAAAAUAAAUAAAUAAAAUAAAGGUAUUGUGUCCAUCUACAACUAAAAAAUUAUUUUUCAAAAUUUGAUAUAUAAUUUCUACAGAAUGCAUGCCAAAUUUGUAUCAUCGUAAAGUAAAAAAAAAUUUAAGUUGAACUUUCAUAAGUUGGGGAAUGACUGUAGGUAUAAAGCUGCAUUGAUGAGCUUAUUUUAUAUAUAUAUAUAUAUAUAUAUAUAUAUAUAUAUAUAUAUAUAUAUAUAUAUAAAAUGAUUUAAUUCAAUUGACAUUAAUAACGUAGAGAAAGAGGGAAGAGCUAAAGUAUACUGGAGCAAAGAUUGUGUAUAUUAUUGAAAUCAAAUGUAUUAAUCUGAACUAGAUUAGUAAAAUAGUGCACUAGAAAACAGAUACUUGACACAAACAGAAGACAUAUAUAAAACAAAAAGCAGAAAAGUUUACUUGGGGUUCAUGGUUUCAGAGAUCUGUGCAUGGUAGGUCUGGCCAUGGUCAGUCCACUCUAUUGCGCUCUGUCUGAGGUGAGGCAGAACAUCGUGGCAUGACAGAAGAAAGGUGCUCUGUUCACAGCAGCCAGGAAGCCAAGAGAAAGAGUGAGGAGACAGGGACAACAUAUAAAUCCCAGGACAACCUCUAGUGUCCUACCUUCCUUUAGUCGUGCCCCACUGCCUACAGUUACCGUUCACUGAUCCAUUCAGAUUAUUCACCCAUCAAGUGGCUUAAUCAUUGAUGAGGGUUCUGCUCUCAUAAUGUAAUCAUUUCACCCCUGAAAACAUUCCUACCUUGUCUAAUACAUGGGCUUUUCAGAGGAAACUCUUAUCCAUACCACAGUAGGAGGAAUGAAUAAAAACACAUGAUCUAACUACACAGACAUUAUAAGAAACACUUUUUAGAUUAAAAGUUACAAAUAGGUCGAACAUAAAAUGAUGGGGAGUAUAAUACCAUGCAAACUAUAACCAAAAGAGAAGUGGACAUUUGGAUUAAAAUGAUUUAUAGGAACAAGGACAUUUAAUAAUGAUACACAAAAGUGUCGAUUCAUAUCAAACACACAAUUUUAAGCAUAUAUUAAAUUGUCAAUACAGUCACAAACUAUGUAAAGCAAAAAAAAAAAAUGACAACUCAAGGAAGAAAUAAUUUAAUGAAAAAAGUUAAAGUCUUUGAACUUCCACUAAUGGUAGAAAAAUGAGACAGGAGAUCAUAAGAAAACAGAGGACUUGAAUAAUAAUAUAAUCCAACUGGACCUACAGAAUUCUCUACCCAGCAACAGAAGAUAUGUAUUUUCCAUAAACAUACAAGAACUAUUUGUCAGAAUAUACCACAUGUGAGAACAUAAAACAAGUCUCAACAAAUUAAAAAGAAUUUCAAAUCAUACAAAAUACAUUCUCUGGAUACAAGAAAUCACAUUAGAUAUCAACAGAGAAAUAAUCUGGGAAACUCAAAAAUACGUGGAAUUAUUCAACACACUACUAAAUAACAAGUGGAUCAAAGAACAAACAUCAUGAAAAAUUAGAAACUACUUCAAGAUAAGUAAAAACAGAAAAACACCCUAACAAAACAUAGUAUGAAGAUAAAGCAGUGCUCAGAUGGAAGUUUUUAGCUAUAAAUGAUUGUAUUAAAAAAAGAACAAUCCAAAAUAAAUAACCUAAACUUCUACCCUAAGAAAGUAGAAAAAGAACUCAAAAUAAGAAGGAAAGAAAUAAAGAUUAGAGCAAAAAUAUUAAAAAAAUUACAAAAUAGGAAAGAAGUAGAAAAAAAAUUAAAGAAAUUAAAAGUUAGUUCUUUUUAAAGAUCAGCAAAAUUGACAAAUCUUUAAGUAGACUGGCUAAGGAAAAAUAAGAUUUAACUUAGUAAAAUCAGGAAUGUAAGAGAGGGCAUCUCUAUUGAUUUUCAGAAAUAAAAAAAAUUAUAAGAAAAUAUUAUGAAUAAUCAUUUGCCAACAAAUUACCGAGAUGAAAUGGAAGCAUUCCUAGAAAGUCACAAACUGACUCAAGGAAGAGAAAAUCUGAAUAAGCAAGAAUUGAAUAAAUAAUUACAGAUCUCCCACAAUGUUCAUCCCCAGAUGACUUUACUGGUGAAUACUGCCAUAUUUUUAAAGAAGAUUCAUUUAAGACUAAUCUUUCACAAAAUUUACCAAAAAACAUAACAGGAGGGAAGAGCUCCUGUUGCCUUACUUGUACCAUGAAAUGAGUAUUCCUUUGAUAUCAAAACCAGAAAGAUAUCAUAAGAUAACUACAGACCAGUAUCCCUUGGUGUCUAUGACUAUAGACAGAAGUUCUUAAUGAAACACAAGUAGGCCAGAUCCAACAGCGUAUAAAAAUAUGAUACACUGUGAUCAAGUGGGUUUCAGAACAGAGAAUGCAAGGUUUGUUUAACAUAUGAAACAUCUAUGAAUCAACAAAUGUAAUACACCAUACUGAUAGAAUAAAGUAGAAAAACAUGAAAAUCCUAGUAGACAAUAGAAAAAGUAUUUAAUAAAGUCCAAUCCUCUCCCAUUAAAAUAUUUAUUAAAUUAAAGAGAAUGGAAAGGAUAGAAGAAAUUGAAAAGUACUUACUCAACCCAAUAAAGGAAAUUUAGGAAAAGCCCACAGUUGAUAUGGUAUUUAAAAUGAAGGACAAAAUCAUUGCCCUUUAGAUAAGAAUAAGAUAAGGAUAUUUUUUUCUAGAAAAUUUAAUUCAACAUUGCAUUGCAAGUUCUAGCCAUUGAAUGUAGGUCAGAAAAGGAGGUAAAAUCCAUUAAAGAUUGGUGGAGGGGUGGUGGGGGAGAAAUAAAACUCUCUAUGUUCAGAUGGCAUGAUGUUCUAUGUACAAAAACUACCUAAGAAAUAAAUUUUAAAAAAUAGUAGAAAUCACAUGAGUUUAGUAGGGUUUCAGGGCAUAGAAUAAGGAUACAAAAGUCAAGUGUAUUUCUACAUUAGAAACACUAGAAAUGUGCAACCUAAAAAUAAAAUAAAUUAUGAGGUCAUCUAAUUUAUCAUAAUUAAAAAUACUUAAGUAAUACAUUAAAGUGGCUAGUUCAUUAAGACAAAACUGUUUUAAAUAUUUGUAUAUCUGAUAACAGCUUCAAAACACAUGAAACAAAUACUGAAUUGAAUUAAAAGAAAAAUAGGUAAACCCACAAAUAAAGAUUUCUGUACUCCUUCUCAGUAAUUGAUACAGCAAGUAGGCAGAGAUUAUUUAGGAUAUAAAAGGCUUAAUCUUAAACUACUUGCUCUAAUUGGCAUUUGUACACAUUUUACUCAGCAGCAAAAGAACAUAUGUUCUUUUCAAGUUCAACUAGAACACUACCAAGAUUGAAUGUAUUUUGAGACUAUAAAUGAAUCUCAACAAUUAAAAAAAUUCAAAUCCAAUGUAGGAGCUAUGCUUUCUGAACAAAUUGGAAUUAUGUAUCAAUACUAGAAAAAUACAUGGAAAAUUCCCUAAUAAUUGGAAACUAACAUCCUUCUAAGUAAUACAUGAAUCAAGUAAUGCAUCAGAAAUGAAAUUAGAAAUACAGCACACAGAACUUUAUGGGAUGCAGAUAAUGGAGUAUUUAGAGGGAAUUUUAUAGCACUAAAAUGCCUAUAAUAGAAAAGAAAUAUGUAUCAAAAGCAUUACCCCCACUUUCAAGUUAAGAAACAGGAAAAAGAAGCAUGAAUUAAAUUAAGAAUAAACAGAAGAAAGUAAUUCAUACAGACAAGUUCAGAAACCCAUGAGGUUGAAAAAAUAAAUUAAACCUAUAGCUCUUUUGGUAAUUUUAUGGACAUUGAUAAAAAUGGUAAACCUCUAUCCAGAUUGAUCUGGAUAAAAGUGAAAAAUUACACGAAUUACCAAUAUUAAGGAUGAAAGAGAUGAUAUCACAUCAAAUUCUACAGACAUUACAAUGAUAAUGAGGGGUUAUUAUGACCACCUCUGUUCAAAUAAUAUGACAACUUAGAGGAAAUAAAAACAACUCUGUUAAAGAUGAAAAUGAUUAAGGUUCAAUCAAAAAAUUAAACUUAAUAACUUUAUCUAUUAAAUAAAUUGAAUUUGUAAUUAAAAACCUUCUCACAAAGAAAACUCCAGGAUUGAAGUAAAAAAGAAAUUUAUAAAUUCACAAAUAAAGUCAAGAUUUACUGAAAAAUUUUAACAAAUAUUUAAUGGAGACAUGAUACCAGAUUUCACAGAAAAUUGAAGAGAUGAAAACACUUUCCAAUUCAUUCUAUGAAGUCAUUAGUUGGGCAAAAUGAAAGAUAAACUGAAGAAAAUAAAAUUACAGAUCAUGAAAAGCUAUGAUAUAUUCCUAAGUGGAGAAGAACUAUAUUGCUUAUGAAUUUUAAAAACUUGAUAUUGUUGUUUAUUACCCCUUAAUUGACAUAUACAUUGAAAUCAAUCUCAAUUAAAGCCUCGGUAGGCUUAUUUGUAGAAAUUUAUAAUCUGAUUCCAAAAUUUAUAUUUAAAUGUAAAGGAGAAUAACCAUACAAAAUUGAAAGGAACAACAAAGUUGAAAGACUUAUACAACCAGAUUUUACAAUUUAUUUAGAGUGCUACGAUUAUUCAAGGCAAUUUUAUUGGCAUAAAUAUUGACAAACAGAUCAACAGAACAGAGAAUCCAGAAAUCAACCUCCCCACAUAGGGUGAAUUGUUUCUUGAAAAAGUCACCAACACAAUUUCAAAGGGAAAGAAACUUUUCAGUCAACGGUGCUAGUGGUGGGAAGUUAGUCAACCAAUUACCCAACCAUGGCCCUUACCUCAUAAACUGCCGCAGUCUGGCUGGGCAAAAUAACUGGGGGGUGACAAGCAACUUGUGAAGAUUGAAACACCGGGAGCCACUUUAUUACGGGAUAGCAGAGGUAUAUAUACCUAAUUACACACAGCUUAACUUAAUUAACAUCAUCUAGAUACAGCAGUCAGUCAUUAAGGAAUCCUCAUCAUCUUAAUGGCUCUCUGGCGUUGCUUCACAAACCACUCCUCCUGGCAAAGUGCCAGGAGCCAUCUUGACUUGAUUGUGGCCCUCAACAAUAAACCACAUACACAUUUAUUCAAAAUGAAUCAUUAUGACUGAAGCUGAUCAGUGUUUGCCUGAUCUGGAAAGGGGUGGAAAGGAGUAAUGACAAUGAAUACAAGAAAACGUUUGGGUUGUUAGACAUGUUCAUUGCUUUAUGUUAUGGUUUAGAUAUGAGGUAACCCCCCCACCCCCACCCCAAAGCUCAUGUGUGAGACAAAGCAAGAAAGUUUAGAGGUAAAAUGAUUGGGUUAUGAGAACCAAUAAGGGUUAGGGACUGAUAGGGAUUAACUGGGAGGUAACUGUAGGUAGGUAGGUAGGGUGUGGCUGGAGGAGGUGGGUCAUUGGUGAUAUGCCUUUGGGUGUAUAUUUUGUUGCUGAUGAGUGAAGCUCUCUCUGCUUCCUGAUCCUCAUGUCUUGAACAGAUCUCCUCCUUCAAACUCUUCUGCCAUGCUGUUUUGCCUCAUCAUGAGCCCAGCGCAAUGGAAUUGGCCAUCUCUGGAAUGAGACUUCUGAAAUCAUGAAUGCCAAAUGAACUUUUCCUCCUUUAAAAUUGUUCUUGUCAAGUCUUUAGGUUGCAGUGGCAAAAAAACAAAUAAACAAACAAACAACCCUCCCCUCCAAACUGAACAAAACAUCUUAUUUGUGGUAAUGGUUCCAUAGGUGCAUAUACAUAUAUCAAAUUCUCCACUUUUCAAUAUGUGGAGUUUAUAUGUCAAUUUUACCUCAAGAAAGCUGUGAAGAAGCAAAAGAAACAAUCAAGAACGUGAAGAGAGAGCCUAUAGAAUGAGACAAAAUCUUUACCAUCUGCCCCUCAGAGCAUCAAAUUCCAGGUUAUAUAAAGAAUUCAAAAAAUGUAACAUCAAAUAAAUAAAUAAAUAACCCGAUCAAACAAUGGGCAAAGGAACUGAACAGACAAUUCAAAGAAGAAUAAAUAUUAUUGGUCAACAAAAAUAUUAAAAAAUGUUCAACAUCUCUAGCAAUUAGAGAAAUGCAAAUUAAAACUAUGGCAAUUAUCAAGAAUAUAAGUAACAAUAAAUGUUGGUGAGGAUGUGGGGGGAAAAGGUACACUAAUACAUUGCUGGCAGGAAUACAGAUUGGUGUAAAUACUCUGGAAAGCAGUAUGGAGAUUCCUCAGAAUGCUUGGAAUGGAACCACCAUUUGACCCAGUUAUCCCAAUCCUCAGUUUAUUACCCAAAGGACUUAAAAUCAGCAAACCACAGUGACACAGCCACAUCAAUGUUUACAGCAGCUCAAUUCACAAUAGCUAAGCUAUGUAACUAAUGUAGGUGCCCUUCAACAGAUGAAUGGAUAAAGAAAAUGUGGUGUAUAUACACAAUGGAAUAUUAUUCAGCCAUAAAAGAAGAAUGAAAUUAUGGCAUUUACCAGUAAAUGGACGAAACUGGAGAAUACUGUGCUAAGUAAAAUAGGCCAAUCCCAAAAAACCAAAGGUUGAAUGUUUUCUCUCUAAUAGGCAGAUGCUAAUUCACAGUAGGGUGGGGGCAGUUAGGGAAGAAUAGAAGUAUUGGAUUAGACAAAGAGGGAUGAAGGGAAGGGGAGAAUAGGAAUAGGAAAGACAGUAGAAUGAAUUGGACAUUACUAUCCUAUGUGCAUAUAUGAUUACAUGACCAAUGUAAUUCUACAUCAUGUACAACCACAAGAAUAAGUUAUACUCCAUAUAUGUAUGUCAAAAAUACAUUCUACUAUCAUUUAUAACUAAUUAGAAUGUGUGUGUGUGUGUGUGUGUGUGUAUCCUCUUGGUUAAAUUUAUGUUUUGGGUUCUUCCUAUUUUGCUGUUACACAAUGGAAAAUAAGCUGCUUCCAGGUUUCCAAUCUCUGUGCACUUUUAACCCCUAUCUCAAUUUUUCUGUCCUCUGAUAAGGCUUAGCCAGUUCCCAAGAGGAGAUCUCUUCACUAGACACUUGUUGCUAGAGGUUUCCUCCCCGAUCACUACCAUUACCCUCUCUGCUCUCUUUCUGCUCUACACUCUGACAAGCAGUGCUCAGAACCAACAUCCAAAGCCAUUCGCGGUAUACCUGGGCUUCUCCAUUUCCAAGGGAUGAGGCAAGCCUCCAUCUUAGAAAGACAUGACACACGAUAGCAGAUGUGAGACAGUUGUUUAAGGGUUACAUGAGACAACUAUGUUUUGUAACACGAGGACUCACAAUUUGUGCAAAAUCGGGACAUUAUUUCAGUUUGUAAAAAAAUGAGAACAUUAUUAUCUUUGCAAAACUAUGAGAAGUUAAGGGACAAGAUGGGCAGCUCUAGAAAGAAGGCUGUCAGUGGGUGCGUUCAGGAUGUAUUCCAGGAAAUAAACCCCCUCAUCUGCCAUCACUCCAACAGUGCAUAGCCCACUUGCUUUGUGCCAGACAUUCUGAGGCUUAGAGCUUGCAAAGAUAAGGCAUUACUCUUGCCCUUAAUAAUUUUUUGGUAUCUCAAAGGAGAAGGAUGCACAGACCAAUUCCUUAGGAAAAAUUAUAUUUAAAUAAUUGAAACAUGUUUUAAAAUUAUUAAAUUAUAUAAGUAAUUCUAAUUAAAUCUAAUUUUAUUUUAUUGUUAAAUCAGUUAAGUUUAUUGGACCACUUUGUCUACUAUGGUUAAGCACAUCAUUAAAUAUGAAAAAUUACAGACAUUAUAAAUUAGGAUACUGAUAUUUUAAUUUCUACUUAGCAACUUUUCAAAGUUCCAAGUUUAAAACAAGAACUCAGGUAUAACUAUAGAUACCCAGACCAGGUGUCCUGAGUUAAGUAUUGCAGUCAAAAUUCAAGUGUAGAAUAGGCAGCCACCCAGGAUGCAGCUCUCACAGUGAGGAACAUUAGUUGGGCUUUCUGUGUGGGUGGGUGAUGAUUUAAGACCUACAGUGUUAUAAAUGUUUUCUCUUCACUGGACUCUACUUUCAUUAAAAGCAGAAAGAAUGUCUUUUAUCUCUGAAGUUGUGGUGUCCAGGCCUUAACUAUCCAAUAGGCAGACAAGCAAGUGUGUAGGGAAUAAGAAAAAAAAUAAUGGCCCAAAAUGAAAAGAAAAAGAUCCUGAAGAGUUUAAUAUUGAACAUUUACAAAAAUUAUCAAACUAGCUAUUGUGAGGUCAUGGAAAAACAAUUCUGAUAAUUUUGUUUCACAUUUUUUAUUUGUGCUGUUUUUAUAUUUAAUGACCUGUGGAUAGUCCAUAAUGAGAGAGGGGGUAUAAACAAUAAUCUUUUCAAUGCUUAGGGCCUAUAAAGGUGUUAAUUCAGGUGUAACAAUGACCACCAAAGUGCCCAACCAAUAGUAUUGCUCAUUAAAAAUGUGAGCAAAAAAUAUGUUUAUAUGUGUCUGUCUAUGUGGGCAAUCUUAUAUGAGCGGAUAAUUUUAAAAAACAUUUUUUAGUUGUAGUUGGACACAAUAUCUUUAUUUAUAUUUAUGUGGUGCUCAGGAUCUAACCCAGUGCCUAACACAUUCGAGGUGGGCACUCUACCACUGAGCUACAGCCCCAGCCCUGAACAGAUAAACUUUAUUGGGGGAGUCAUUAUUAAAUUUGUACUGUUUUAUACUGAAAACUCAGAUAAUAGAUAUUUAAAUUUAAUCCAGUUUCUUAGAAAAGUAACAACAUCUACAUACAGAUAAUCAGACUGCUAGUUUUUUUAUUAGGCACUACAGACAACCCAAUUUCUGACUAUAAAACAAUGUUAUCAACUAGAACUCUCAUUAAUUGGAUGUAAAUCACUUUUGCAAACAAAGAAAUGAUGACUUUAUCCAGUGGUUGAGGACUUUACUUUAAAAAAUCUUAGCAAUAAUAAUAACAAAUUUAACUAAUGCCAACCUCAUUUCUUGCAUCCUUUUAAAAUGAGUCUGAAAUAAAAUUAAAAUGAAUCUGAGUAUUCCUAGUCAUUUUAUUAAUUCCUGAGCAGAUAAGAGACAUAUGUUUAUAACAUUCACUAUUUUGAAAAAUUUGAACAGUCUAUUCAGACAGGACCCAAGUCUCCACUUUUAAAAUGAUUGUGUUAGCUUCUUUAAGUAGAUUGAGCAUAUUUUAGUACUGUCAUUGUUUGCACACUAUUGGUUUUCCUAUUUUGCAGCAGAGAUAACUGUUUAAAAAAAUGCUUGCAGAAUGUCCUAUGGAAAGUCAGUGUUAAAACACAAAACCCAAACCAGGUGUUUAAUUUGUAGCCUCCUAGAACAUUGUGUUUCAAAUAUGACACACUGGAUUGGAGAUAAAUUUUAUAGUCAGUUUUGCUGCGCAGAAAAGAUCAGUAUGUUAUGUAUGGUAAAGGUAUUAUUUUGUGAAAUGUGUGUGUGUGUAUGUGUGUUUGUGUGUGUGUGUGUGUGAAUUUCUUAUGUGGGUUGCAGUCCAAAAAUAUCUAAAAGCAUUGUACUUGUAUUUCUCCAAAGGUAAGUAUGCAAAAAGUCUAUUUUAGUUCAGACUAGGGGCAACAAGCUAAUACAUAGUGUGUACUUACUAGAUACUGCUCGUAAAAGGCCUUGCCUUAAGUACUCUGGAAAAGCCAAUACAAAAAUAUCUGAGAAAUAUUAUGAUCUCACUGCAGAACUAUCAGUCUUUCAUGAUACUCAACAUCUUGGUGAAGACUGAAAUAUUUGCCCAUAAACCCCCACACAUGCAAUAUAGACCAUAUAGCAUGACUAAAUUUAUGAAUAACUGAUUUUUCUAUCUUCAUCUAAACAAAGAUAAAGCAAAGAUACUGCUACAUUCCAUAAAAAUUGCUUUUACAUUCCAAACAAUACUAGAGUUUCAUAUUUUUUUCUCUUAGAUUUGCAAGAGGAUCUGUUCCAAUUUUCCUGGGCUCAUUUAUAAAAUGGAAUGUGCUACUCAUGAAUGAUAGAAAAAAUAAUUUUAUAUUCAGAAUUACUUCAUCUUCCUGUCAACUGACCUUGACUUGCAGGGGAAUACUAAAGAACUGGAGAGAGAUGCAGGAGCACAACUUCAAGGGGAUAAUUCCUCAUCUUUUAAUCCUAAGCUCCUACCCAUAAUCAAAGGCAGACCUCUCGGGUGCUCUGGAUGCCCAAUGUCUGUCCCACAUGUAAGCUCCUGCUUCUCAUUAACUUUCAAAAAAUGUUAACAGAUCCCUUUGCCAGCGCAGACAUCAUGCAAAAUUUGUUUUCUGAAGCUUUCUCUCUCCUCAUGUUCUUACUCUAGCCAUCCUUUCUCCAACACUCAGUGCCUUGCUGGCCUACCCCAGGUCUUCCAGGCACCUUGUUGAAGGUCCUCCAUCACCUGCUAUCCUUUACACCAGAUUGCCUAGGAACCUUUUCCUCUUUUGUCAAAAAUGACCUGUGUAUCAAUAUCCUUAGGUCUCAGUUUUCUGCUAAGUGGUUAUUGGUUUUUCUGGAAAAAUGAAGUUUUAAUUCAUGUUCUAAUUAAUGAUCAGAGGCCUGAUCAUUCCAAGUGUACUAUUCAAAUGACUGGUGACAGUUAUCUACCACUGUAAUUAUCCUCAAAUCCUUCAACAAGGUGAACUAGAGCUGGUAGAAAAUGUACCAUUUUCAUGGAGGACGGGAGGAGGAUUGAUGUUAGGAUAGGAAGUGAAUGGCCCCUGAUAUUCUCUGGGACCUUAUUCUCUCAGUUGAUAGUUGCGCCUCAGAAACUAUCCAAGAGAAAGUUUGAUGUAGCUGAGUCAGGAGACCUAAUGCCUGCUCCCCACUCUGUAAAGAGCUGACGGUGUCUCACCAUGUGCUAGUUUUAUAUUGCUGUGACAAAAUUCCUGAAAGAGUCAACCUAAAGGAGGAAGGGUUAAUUUUGGCUCAUAGUUUCAGUCUGUGGUCAGUUGGCUCUGAUGCCCUUGGACCUGCAGCAAAGCAGAACAUUAUGGUAGGGAGCACACGAUAGAACAAAGCUGCUCACUUCAUGGUGGCAAGGAAGCAAAGAGACAGGAAGAAGCCAGGGUCCCCAUGUCCCCUUUAAGGGCACUUACACAAUAACCUAAAUUCUUCUACAUAGCUCUACCAGCAUAAAGCUCCACCAGCAUGAUUGUACCAUCGACUGAGGACCAAGCCUUUAACACAUGGCCUUUGGGGGACAUUUAAAAUCCAAGUCAUACCAGUUUUUGAAAAACAUUAUGAUUCUUUAUUUGUUUAGCUUUGUUCUUAAAAUUUUUAAACUUUCACCACUAUCUAUUCUAACUUUUAGGAAUGAUGACUUUAGAAUACAAUUUCUCUAUGACAAAAUGUCAGAAAAUAAUGUGUCCUCACAUAAAAAUGUAUUCCCUUACCUCUACUGCAGAAAUGUGACUGGCCGAGGGCUUAGGUCCUCCUUGGGACCACACUUACCACCGGCUGCUGUGGGCAGAAUGAAGAAUAAGGCAGGCCCAUUCUAGCAAGAUGAGGACUCCUCUGGGCAUGAUGACUUUGACUCCAGGAAGCCCAGUGGCUGGCUUAAGCUUUCUUAGAACUGAACUGUGCUCCCAGAUUCUUCUUGCCCACCCCACUUCCUGCUAUCCUUCACAGGGGCCAGAUCUGCAUCUCAGUUUGAAGGUUCUCCACCUCUCUUCUACCUUCCUCCCUUUCCCCCCUUGUAGAUAUAUAAUCCUGUAAAAAUAAGAAUUCUGACUGUCAGAGGACCUGUACUGACAAAAGGUCCCCAUCUUCUACUUUAUUUGCUUGUGACUCACAUCGUCCCCAGGAAACAAAAGGCUGCAGUAUUUAUCAUCCAUGCUAAAACAUAAUUCCUAGACUAAACUUUCCAUUGUAUUACAUGAUUUCUCCUGAAGAAACCUUUGUACUAAAUGCAAAGUAUCAUAGAAAUAUCUAAGGCAUAGGUAUGCCUGUGAAUUUUCCAGAGACAAUUUCCAAGUAUUGUUCUGUCUAUCCAGACCAGUGAUUUUCAAAGGUUAAGCCAUUGACUCCUUUCUUCAAGUUAAAUCCUCACUGACAUCAACAGACAACAGUGUAAGUGGGGGUGGAGCACAAUUAGGAUAGGGGGUGAAGUGGCCAAGGAGAACUGAUGUCAACUGCUGGGCUUCCUGUCUCCUCAUUCUCACUCAAUUGUUGCUGAGGUGCCCUUUCCAAGAAUCCCCCUGAGCUGUACUAAGCAUGGUAAGAAAAAAAAAUCCUGCAAAGACAGUAGAUUUAUAAAUAUUAUUUCACAGAGGUAUCCUCAGUGAACUCUAAUGAGGAGAAAGAGGGUCAAGCCAUGAGGUUCUGGUUGCCUCAGAGGGUGCCGCUUUGCUUUUAUCUGUUGGUCUAUGAUUGUGAUUGUUCAUAAGAUUUCUUUGAAGAAAUUGUUUAGUAGUAAAAACAAUUUAAAAAAAAAUUGAAAAGCCCUUGCUCCAGGUCACUGUUACAGAAAAGACUUCUACAGAAUGUAGUUUUCCCUAUGAAAUGGAAGAACUAGAGGACAAGACCAGCCAUUUGACUUAUCCCAAUGUGUGGUAGUGAAUUAUCUGGUCUAGCAUGAACUAUGUCACAUUUAAUUAAUUCAGGUGUUCCAAAAUAUAUAUAUUUGACAUCUACUAUAUGCUGAGCAUUGGCCAGUUACUAAGGAGGUCACAUUCUUUUGAAAGAGGAAAUUCAUAAAUAAGUACUGAGCAGUAUGAUUCAAGUGCAAGAAAAUCCCAAAGAAGGGCAUCCCUUACCCAGCCAGGGGCGGAGGGGUACCAGCAAGAGCUGAGGUGAAAAGGAUCCUCGAAAGAUUCAGGUAUUUGAUGCUGGGUGUUUGUUCUAUUUUGUGCUGAUCUCUGUUUCAUAUGCUUUGGCACUUGUUCUAUUUUGUGCUUGGCUCAGGCAACCUUGUGAGAUAAAGACUAUUGUCAUCCCCAUUUUAGAGAUAAAGAAACUGACAUACAGAGAAGUAACAGGCCUGAGGUAACACAUUCAUAGAUGGAAGAGCCAGGAGUGCACCAUCCUGUGGCCAUCUUCUUCACUCCUGUGCCUCCUACCACUUUGAUGUCAUCAGAUUUACCCCACAGAACAUCAACAAACCAGGAUUGAACCAAGGUAUUCUGAAUCCCAGAGUAGCCUUAAAUUCAAACUCCCAAGACCCCAGAGUGUCUAUUUUUCUUAGUGGUCUGUCAGAGGCUGAUGACUCUCAAAGUAGCAUCUUUAAAAAAAGGCAAGACAGUCACUAGAAUAGCAACUUCAGGGUCCUUGUUUAGAAGUGCUUGGGGUAGGGAAGUAUUGCAAAUAUAAGACUGGACUUCCAUUAAACAGAAAUGUACUGUUAGCAAAAGCCUGGUGUGUUUGGGUGAAUAGUAAGUUUCCACCACAUGUAAGGUAUAAUAAUAAUCAGGUUUUCAAAAUACUCAGCCAGACUCUGCUGGUUUCUCUAAGAUAGAAAUGCACAGACAGAUAAAAGACUGUGUUCAGGUUUUAUUUUAAUCUUUGCCUCCCUGCUUGUGGUCUUAAAGGCCUUAGUACUGACAGCAAAUGAUAUUUCUACCUCCUUCUUUACAAAGCAGGAAUUUGCAUUUUAAUUUUGGAAUACUUAGGGAAAAAUCAAAUGAAAUGCUUUAUUUACCUUUUCGAGAUUUUUUUUUUCUUCUUUCCAGGAAUAAAGCCUAUUGCGUACUGAGCUGCAUACUAAAUGUCAUGAAUCUCAAGGCAGAGCUCGUUACUGGAGCUACAGUGAAUGCGUUUGUGCUUCAGUCAGGAGGAAUUUCAACUUCAAGGGGCUCCAGAUUGGAAUAGAUUUCUUUUAAAGUAAAAUAGUUGGGCUUGCCUUGAAUUGAACCUCAAGAACAACAUUUAAUAAAAAUGUGCUGUGAGCCCUGCUUUGAUAAGGAAAGCUAUUUAUAAGCAUCUUGUCAUCUUCUAUAGCAACUCUAAAGGCCUCUAAACCCUGAAAGUGAUGAGAAUAUAGCUACUAGUAUACAAUUCCCAAGUUUGUCUACCCAUCCUAGUUGCUGUUCACCUGAGUCCAAAAUGGACACUCAGAAAGCAAAAGUGGUUGCUGCUAUUAAAUACAUUGGGACAACAGGCAUAAACUGGGAACCAAAUCUGGCAAACUAGCAGGAACAAACAGCCUAAUCAUGGGCAAAUUCCCUUUUCUAGCAAAGAAACGAUCAGCAUGGAGUCUGUAGGCAGAGUAUAAUGUCUGAUCCAGAAUUUACUCAAUGAAGGACCAGGAAGGAAGUCCCCUACAUGGAACAACUUUGAACACAAAAAACAGAAUCGGAAGGGUGAUAGAGUCAUCUAGUUCUAUGGGAUGAGAGAGUAGAGAGGAAUUGGGGUUGUCAUUUGGAUCUGUGUAAAAGGCUGGUGGACUGAUAGGAGGUGGUGGAAACUUUAGCAGGUGGGCCUAGUGGAAGGUCACUGGGGGAUGUCCUUGAGGGGCUUGUUGGGACCAUCACCUCCUUUCCCUAUCGCUAUUUGCCUCCCAGCUGCUCCACACAUGUUCCUUGUCUUGGUGUUCUUUGUCACCAUAGUCCCAAAACAGUAGAGCCAACUGACCAUGGACUGAGACCCCUGAAACCGUGAGCCAAAAGAAAUCUCUCCUUUUAAGUAGUUUGUCAGCUAUUUUGUCACAUGGAAAGCUAACACAUAAACUAAAAUUACUGAAACAACUGUUCUUUUAUUCUUAGAUUAUGUCCUUUCUUACCAUUUUUUGGGCGUUGAACAAUUAUUUUUAAUCAAAUGAAAUAAAUACUAGAGAAUAAUAAUAUUUUUAAUGUUUUUAACCUGGCAAAUUUAAAAGUGGCAUCUCUAUGGAGAUCCCAAAAUGUUAAGUCAGAGCCAAAGACCCAUAGCUUUAAGAUAACUUCAAAUCAUAAAACACGGUAGAAAAAAGGUUGUUGUUAUUUUUUUUUUCUUUUUCAGAAAAAAGAGGAAGAUAAUCAAUAACAAGUAAUUACAAUCAUUGCAGCUUGAUGUUGGCCAGGGAUCCUAACGGCUCAGAGGUGUGAGGAAUUCGAAGAUUGUCUUUAGUCUUUCUAUCCCAAGUCCUUGGCCCUUGGCAAGACCCUCUGGCUCUUUCCCAGCAGUCAAUCUGCUCCUUGCAAAAGCUCCAGCUCCCCAGGAGAGAGUCAGUGAGCAUGGAUGAGGAUAAUCUCAUGAAAACUGGCAGGUCCAGUCCUUCUAUGUUACUUUUAGAAGAGAAGAAGUUUCUUCUUUUUGGGUUAAGGACUGAAAUUAGCUAGACUGAUUUCAUUUCUCCACUUGGCUUUGUGUACAUGGCUAUUGACUCUGAAACCGAAGGAGGGGUAAUGCAGAGGAAUGCUCUGGCUACUGGUAUAAAACUUGCCAAGAAAAAACCAACGAGGACUUGAUUUUAUGAAUGCGGUAUUCUUUUGCUAAUCCCCCAGCACUGGAUCACAGAAGAGUAAAGACAAAUCUACUCAGGAGUAUUAUUUUCAGACUUCAGGAUGAAGGUAGCUAAAUAGCAAGCUUCUCUAAGUACAAAGAUGCUCAGCAAGCCCAGGCAUAUUUCUGCUUUAGGAGGAAAAAAAUCAAACAGUCUCUGCUCUUAUAAAAUCCACGUAUCUAUAUUUUAACAUGACAGCAUUACCAAGAAUUAGUAAUUAGCCUGAAGUAUCUGGUCAAAAUCAAAUAGACUUGAGUCAACCAGCUCCUAUGAAUUCAUUCAGUCUAUUUCAGAUUUUAUGAUAUUAAAUUGCUUUUGCAAAGUUGUGCAUAAUAAAACAAAAUAAAGGAUGGCUUGAGGAUA
rnacentral:lncRNA from 1 species